UCUUUUUUUGCUACUCCUUGGUCUAAAUUUAAUUAAAAUGGAUUUUAAACAAAAAUAUCUUUUGAUGUUGGAGGAUGAGAUUACUUGUUCAAUCCUUCAAUCUCUACUUGUUUGAGCUUUGAUUUGUUUUUUUGCCAAUAAGUUCUAGAUUCUCUAUGAUUGAAGAUAAGUUGGAUUUUUUAGAUCUAGUAGAACAAUACAUCUAUACAACUAUAAACAUAUCAUUGUCAUACUGUAAUUACUUAUAGUAUGUAAAAAUUAAUUAAGACACAUAAUAUGUUUGUAAGUCUUGAUGUAGAUUAGAUUUGUUAUUAAAUAAAUUUAAAGAGAAUUGAUAUAAGAAAAUUUAUUUGAAGAUUUAUCUAUUUUGAUUAUAGUGAUUAUAUUAUAUAGGAUUUAGAUAUUUAGUAUAAAGCUGAAGAGAAGGUUGGAGUUUAAAGAUGAAAUUCUAAACUAUUAGGAGGCUUAUUGGGAAGGAUGAAAGCAAGGUAUGGUUGGAUGAAGGCAAGGGGUGAAGACCUUCAUCCCUAUUGGUCAAAUGUCAUACCCAAUGGGCUUCAAGGAGACUGCCCAAGGCCUUAUUAGAAAUUAGGGUAUCUCUUUCGAGGUCAUUCGAGUUUUGGAGGCUAAAGUCAGCAAGUUCAAGAUUUUGAAUAUAAUUUGGAUGAAGAGUUUGUAUGAUUUCGAGUUUUUGUGAAGGAGAUAUAGGUAUUCAAAGUUGAGGUAUCAAAUUUGUAUUUAUUGUCACUCUUUGAAGCAUAACAUAUGUGUACGGAGAGAAAUAAAAGAUCAGCAACUAGAAUUGGAGAGAAAACUUUCUUGGCUAUAUUUUACAUAUACUAUUUGAUGAAUUCCAAGUUUAGAUGAAGGAGUUAUAGGGCAUUGAAGAUAGCACAUGUAAUUCAAAGGCAAUAAGUGAGUCAUUUUGUUGAUAGUAAUGGUUGGAGCCAUAUCUUGAGUUUCUGGUCGAAUUUCUAGCUCAAAAUUUCUAUAAGUCUGUGUUAUUAAGUUAAAAAGCUAUAGGUCAAAGUUUCAUAGUAUUUGACUACUUAUUUUGUGAUAUAUGAAGAAAAUAGCACGCAAGUGUAUGUAAGUUAGGGUUUAAAGCUAUUGUUAGGAUUUUGGUGAUAUCUCAAGAUCCGUAAUGGAUUUGUAGUUGAAUUUUUUUGUAAUAGUUUUUAAAAAUAUAUUAGUACUUCAUAUAAAAUUUAAGAUUUUUCGGAGGGUCCGAUCGUGACAUAUGAGCUGUUGAAAUUCAGGAAACAUUUCUCAUAAGGAUAUAUAAGGUUUUAAGAUACUUUAUUAUAUAUUUGGAUUUUUUCUUGGUACUUGGGCUUAUAUAUUAAUUUAAUUGCCCUAAAAAGAAAUAUAUUAUAUAUAUAAACUUGGUACUUUAUAUCUUAGACUUGAUUGAGCAUUUAGUGGCAGCCAGAAGUCCAACACUUUCUUGAGGCAAAUUCUCUCUACCUCGAUACUGUUCAAUUUAGCACACUUUUUAAUCUACCCAAUUUAAAUGUUUGGCUCUUCUACUUAUAACACACUUAAGUACCUUCUAACAAGGAAGGAAAAAAAAAUAUGAAUAAUUAAAGGAAGAAUGCUUAUUUGAAUAUCAUUCCAAGAAAGACUAUUUCUAAUUUUAAUUGUUAUAUAGAACUACCAUAUAUAAGAGUGAUCCUAAGCAAUCUUAAAUGUGAAAAAAAAUUCUAUACCAAGAUGGCAAGAAGUCCAAGAUUUCCUAUUUCUUGUCUUUUUACAACAAGAAAAUUAGAAAAUUACCUACUAUAGUAAUUAACAAUACUUAUUUAUUAGACAAAAUAUUUUCUUUGCAAGAUAAUUAUACCAUGUUGAAGAAAGACUCACCUACUUGCAUCUCUUAUCAACCCGACAUGUGUUAAAGAACUCCAAUGUGGACUUCUUUUUAUUCAAUUUGAACUAAUUGAUUUUUAAAAAAAUAUUUUUGAAUUGGAAAAAAAAAAGAUUUUAAGGCUCUAUUAAUCCUAAAGAAAAAUAAAAUCUAUAAAAAUGUUUAGAAGGUUACCUCUUUUUGUAUCUUUCUUUUAGAUUCUACCCUCUAAUUUCUAACUUCGACUCUUUAUAUUCAAGUAAUUUUUUAAAAUUUUAAAAAAAAGAAAUAAUUGAUAAGAUUCAAGGACUUACUUAUUUGGAAGCUAUUGAUACUUUUUUCUUUUCUUCUCAUGCUCCUUCUCCUCAAACCACAAUCUGUGUUUGUAAAAUAAAUUUAAAACUAAAUGAAUUUUAUUGAAAAGAUACUCACCUUAAAUUAUGACUUCAAUUGUGGAUCUUUUUAUGUCUCCUUUCUUAUUUUUUUUGUUCUUUUUUUCCCAAGAUUCUUCUAUCUACCUCUCUAUCUAAUUCUUUCUUCUUAAAUUAUUUUCUUCUUUUGUUGCUGAAAAAUUCUCUUGAAUUGUUCUUAAGCUCUUUCUGCACUACUUUUGUGAAUAGAAGGGAUACAAGGAGUAGAGGGAGUAAUUAAAUCUUCCUACUUCUAAAGAAAAGCCCUCAACUAAAAAUUUACAAAGAUGAAAAGAAAUGGUAUGAGGGAUAGAAGAGGUGAUUAAAUCCUCCUACUACUAAAGAAAUAUCUUCAAUAAGAAAAAUUACAAGGAUGGGAAGUAAUGCAACCUUAAAGACGAGGUCUAUCUCUUAUGCUUUUGGAACUGACAAUUAACUUAAGAAAACUACCAAGUAAUGCUAAUACUAAUAAGAAAUUAAUCAUAUAUUAUUUAAGAUUAGAAAUAAUAAUAUUACAUAAUAAAUAAAUUAAUAAGAAAAUAAAGAAAUAUAUUGAAUUUAUUUCACUACAUAAAACUUAUCAUGCAUGUAAUAGAAAAAAUAAUAUUAAUAAAUAAAAAUAAGAAAAAAAUAAUAUAAACAAAAUAAAAAGAAAAGUAAAAGAAAAAAAUGAAAGUAAAAGUAAAAACAUGGAUUAAAAUAAAAUUUAAAAUAAAUUUAAAAUAUUAAUUAAGUUUAAUUUUUUUAAUUAAUUAAAUAAUUAUUUUAUUUUAAUAUUAUUAUUAUUAUUUAUUUUUAAUUUAUUAUCAUUGUUAAUUUAAUAUUUAUUUUCUUUGUUUUUAUUUUAUUUUAUUUCUUUCCUGAUUUUUAGAUAUAUAUAUAUAUAUAUAUAUAUAUUUUAUUGAAUUUUGAUAACUUUUAAUUUUGAUAACUUGCAAUUGAUAUGAUGUUGUAAUUGUUAACCAAUUUUUUUACAAAUUAUAAUAUGAGGUAAAGAAAUUAAUUUUUAAUUUAUUAGACUUUCAAAUAUUGAAUCAAGGAAUUGAUUUUUCUAUGAAAUUUAACAAUCAACUUUUUAAAUUUUGAUCUAAGAGUUGGACAAAUAGACUUCAAUAUUUUUCAAUAUAUACAUUCAAAUGUAAAAAGUAUGCAAAUUAAUGUAGUAUGUUUCAAACCUCUUACAAAGCAAAAAAAAACUUUUCAUUGUUAAAAAAGAUUAUGCUUAUUCUCAACUUGUAGAUUAUACUUAAUUAUGCUUAAACAAGUUGAGAACCUAAGCAUAUUUCUCAAUAUUAUUGAAAGGAGUAAUGCAACUUUAAAAUGAAGAAUAUAAUUAUGAAAGAAGAUAAUAUGUCAAAAAAUAAGUUUUUUUUAACUAUAAUAGGAAUCGUGCAAUUAGAAUCUUGUGCAACAUCUAGUAAAGAUUUCAAUUCCUCUUUGAAAUUCUUUCCUUGCUUUAUGAUAGAUGUUAGUUUAAGAACUAAAUAUUACAAAAUAUUUUUCUUAUUAGAUUCAAAAUCCUCAACUUAUUUUUUAAAUAAAAAAUUUGUUAAAAGACAUAACAUGCCUUUAUUGAAGAAAAUUAAACUUAUUCAUAUAGAAGUCAUAGAUAGUUGUUUGUUGUCUUUUAGAAAUAUUAUUCAUAAAAUCUUUCUUAUAGAAGUAACAACUAAUAAAAAUAGUAAUUUUAUAAUAUUUAAUAUUAUUAAAUCUUAUUUUAAUCUAUUAAUUUUAGAUUUAUUAUUGCUAAAAAAAUAUAAUCCUUGAAUAGAAUAGAAUUCUCAUAAUCUUGAAUUUUUUGAAAAUAUAACUAAGAGUAUUAUUAAUCAAGUAGAAAGUCAUAAAUCUAGUGCAUCUGAAUUUGCAUUUAUAGAUGUAAGAGCUUUCUUUUAUGUUGCAAAAAAAACAAAAAAUCAGCUUAUGUUAUUUAUGCCUCACUUAUUUUUAAUGGUAGAAAGACUUUCAGUGGUAUUUCAAGCCAAUAUUAAGAUUAUCAAGAUAUAUUUGAAAAAAAAAAUGUAAAGACUCUUUUAGAACAUCAUUUCUAAAUUUUCUCAAUUCAUCUUUAAUAGAAAGCUCAAUUGUCAUUUAGAUCAAUCUACAAUUUAUCACAAAAUAAGUUAACUGAACUGAAGAAGAAUAUUAAAGAAAACCUGACCAAGAAUUUUACAUGCUAUUCAAAAUCUAUAACAUAACAUCUUAUCUUAUUUAUGAAAAAAAAAUAGAUUAUUAUGGAUGUAUAUAUAUUAUUAGAACUUAAUAAGAUCACCAUCAAGAAUAGAUACCAUCUAUCUUUGAUAUUUAGACUUCUUGAAUAAUUAAACUAAAUUAAGAUUUAUACAAAAAUAGACCUAUGGAGAGUAUAUAAUUUAGUAUGCAUCAAAGAAGGAGAUGAAUAAAAGACUAUGUUUUGAAUCAAGUAUGAACAUUUUGAAUACAAUGUCAUACCUUUUGGACUUACAAAUGCACCUUUAGCUUUUCAAUAUUAAAUAAAUAAUAUCUUUUGAAAGUUUUUAGAUAAUUUUAUUAUCUAUUAACUAAAGACCAUCAUAAUAUAUUUUAAGAAUAUAAAAAAAUAUAAAUUUUAUAAUUUUUUGCUUAUUAAAAAAAUUAAAAGAUAGAAAAUUCUAUGAUAGGUUAAAAAAGUAUAUAUUUUUCAUAGAUAUACAUACAUAUUUUAAUAAAUACCUAUAUAAUUAGAUAGAGAUAAGUAAAAGUAAAUAAAAAAAAAGUUAAUUUCUUAAUACCUUUAAGACAAACUUCCUAAAAGCUUUGUAGAUAUUACUUUGACUUUACAUAUAUUUUUAGUUGAUUGAUAGGUUAGAAACUUGGUCAAAAAAUUAAGUACAUAUUGAUAGCUUGUGGAAUAAGCUAACUAUGUGGUGCACAUAUAAAAAACUUUCCUUGCAAGUUAAGAUACAUAUCUUACAAAGUCAACAACUUUUAGAAGUCUUAUAGGACAUUGUUAUGUAGUUCCUACUUAAGAGUAUAUAUGGACAAAAGAGUAAAGCCUUCUUAACUUUAUUAAUAAGUUAAUCUUUUUAUUUUCAACAAUAGUCAUUCUAGUUCAAUAUUAUAUCAUCUUUGAGUGACUUUUUAGUUCUUUUCAGUGAUACAAGAGUGUACUGAGGAUAUCUUUCUUCAAGAUUUAUAUCCUUGUUAGUUUAAUAAGAGUCUUAAUUUAUUGUUUUUAUCUUAUUUUAGAAGAGAGUGGAUUAUUCUACUUCUAUUGUUAUAUUUUGAAGAUUACAAACUAUCUAUCUUUAAAUAAAUAAUCUUAUUUUUUAAUACUAAUCUUUUUCUUAAAAAAAUUAGAUUAUCUCUCUUUGUAGAAAUUUUCAUUUAAUAUUAGAGGUUAAAAAUUAACUUCCACUAAUUUAACUUUUUAAACUUAUUUAAAUUAUCUAUAGAAGGAAAGAUUAUGGAUGCUACUAUUAACAGAAGUGAGAAUAAACUUAUAACUAUUAUAAAUCUUUAUGAGCUUAUUAGUACUUUAAGAUUAGAAAUCUAACAUAUUUCUAAUAAGAAUCAUUAAGGUAUUAUUUCUAUGCCUAUGGAAGAAGUUUAGAGUUUGCAAUAAGAAGUUGUGCAAUUGAAGAAAGCAAGUAGAUCAAUCUUACAACCAAAUCCAUGAAAUUUUGCUUAUACAAGUAUGACAAGGAUAAGGAUUAGUAUGUCAAAGAAGUUUGUUAGAACAAGAUCAAAAUUUUGAGGAUUUCUAUAAUAAGUCAAGCUCUAUUUAUGAUUGUAUUACUUCAAAUAUUCCAAUGGAUUUAUUUAAUUCAAAUUUAUAGCUAUACUUCUAUCUAGAAGUACUUUCUCUUAGUUUAUACUUUUAAUAGAAAAAGAAUAAUCUUUCUUUUAUAAUUUGAAUUCAUUCUUAGAAGUAUUUAUGGCCACAUUUGGAAAAAAUAAUCAAGAAAGAGUAUCAAACAUUAAACUCUUAUCUUUAUGGUAAUAAUCAUAGUCAAGUACUAUAUUUUCUACUAAAUUCCAAAACCUUGCCUGCAAUAUGGACUAAAAUGACAAAGCCCUUAUUAAUCAAUUUUGAUACGAAUUGAAGAAUAAGAUCAAAGAUUUAUUAUUGAUAAUAUCAAAGGUAAAAUCUUUCCAACAAUUUAUUACUUAAGCCAUUAUAUGCUGUCAUAUUGUAACAUGAUUAUAUGGUAAAAAUAUGACUAAAAAUGAUUUUUUAAUUAAUAUUCUAUUAUAUUAGUUCAACAAGAAUUCAAAAUAUUUUAAUAAGACUUUUAUAAAAGCCUCUUAGCCUAUUUUCUUGUCUUAAUAGCAAGUAGAUAAAAGUUAGUUAGUAUUUUUACCUUCUAGGAUAUAGAAACUUUUUUACUACCUUAAAAAAGCCAUAAAUUAUUAAAAUCAAGAUAGAAGAGAUAAAUGGUUGAUAUGGUAGAAACUAUGAUUAAGUUGAUGGUAGGAUUGGACUAAAAAAUCCUUAUGAUAGAUUAGAUGGAUAUCCGAAGGUCGACCUUUUGUGAGACAGGGUUGAAAUCAAACCUUUGGUCACUAAAACGACCGCCCAAGGCAAAUUAGAAUUUCAUUUAAAGAUCAAUGUUUAGGAUUUGAGAGCUAGCUUCAAGUUCUUUCAUGAAGCAUAAAGGUGGUUUUUGUAGGAUUUCUAAAGACUUAGAAAUUAUUGUUCAAAAUUAGGGUUUGUAUUAGUGAUUUGGAUUUUAUAUAAUAUAAUUAGGACUAAUAAUUUUGGCUAGUUCGUACAAUUAGUAUAACAUCUACAGUUCAAAAUUUGAAACUGUUUGGAUUAUUGGGUGUAUUAAGUGUAUACAAAAUUUUGUGAUAAUCUAAUGGCAUAGUUUAGAGGUAUCUGGUUUUUAGUACAAGAAGGUUUUGGAAGUUGCCAAUUUGGAAUUUGAUAGGACUUGAGUGAUAUCUGAAGAUCUAUUAGUCGGAUUAAGGUGAAAUUUGGUAUAGUGUUGAAGAACUUGAAGAUCAAGUUGCAUACCAAUUUUGAAUCAAAAUUAACGGUUAUAGAAGGAGAAAUCACUAUUAGAAUUUUUGCUUCACUUUUUAAGUUGGCGACCGAGUGACAUCAGUGCAAUUUUUGAAGGUUUUUUCACAAUCUGGUUUUUUGGAUGUUUGUGAAACACAACCUCACUUCCUACAAUUAGGUGCUCGGUGCAUUUUCAAGCAAGACAACACAUAAUACGACAUAAGUGGUGAAUCUUAUGUGAAAGUUUGGAGUGGAAGGUAUUAGAUUAUAUUUGUGGUUAUUUGGAAUUGAUGGCACAAGAAGGUAAGAAGGUUUAAUUUGAACUUUAUAAUGGAACUUUGGGUGGAGCUUCAAGUAGAUCUUCAAGUGCACCUUCAAGUGGGAUUUCUAUUGAUGAAUAAAGUAUGUACUUCAAUCUAAAACCUUCAAAAAAUUUUCAAGUAUUUACAUCAUUUAUGCAACAAUAACAAGGUAAUGAUCACAAAGAGGCUUUGGCAAUCAAAGCAUUGCAAGUAAUGGUUAAUAAGGUUGACCAACUUGAUGAUAGGAAUAUUUUUAAAUAUUUAAGAUGUUAUGUAUAGGAAAUAGAAUUGAAUCACGUUUCUGAGAAGGAGAUGAUUCAAUUAUUUGAGCUUGCUACAGUAUCAAAGAUAAGAGAGCAUAUAAUAUCUAUUAUGGAGUAAUUUGGAAGUUCAUGGGAGGUACUUUCAUAUAUAUUGAAAGAUGAAUAUUUUUUGGAAGAUACUGAUCAAGUUACCAAGAAAUCAUUCUUGAAAUGGAUUGAAUAACCUAAUAAAAAUUUACAAGCUACAGAAUUAUUAAGAGAAUUUGAAAGAUAAUUUUUUCAAUUAUCAAAAAUGGAAAAGUUAACAUUGAGACCAAAAAAAGUUGAAUAUUUUCUUCAAGCUACUGAUGAAAAAAUAUAAGAGAAGUUAGAGGUUCUUCUUAAAGACAAGAAAGAAGAUGAAGGAUUGACAACAAAGUGGAGGAUUGUUGAAUAUGUUAUUGGAUUACUUACAAAAAAAGAAAGAAGAAAGGAUAGGAUUGGUACUCAAAGAGUAGUACAAGUACCAAAAAUUCCAAUGCCUACUACAUGAUUGACUAUGCCUAUUGUCCAACCUCCAUUGGCUACACCAAAGAAAGAAGAUAUGAAACUUAAAGAAAUUGUAUGAAGGAUGUGAGAUCUUCAAAUUAGACUUGCAAGGCUUGAAGAGAAGACUUCUACAAUAAGUUCAAAGGCUACUUUUAAAGAAGAAUAUAUACAAAGAUGUAUUUGGUGUGAUGAUGAUUCUCAUUCUCAAAAAGAUUGUGGUAAAUUUGAUGAGAUGGUACAACAAGGCAUUGUUUAUUGGAAAGAUGGAAAAGUUGCAUUGAAAGAUACUGGUGAUCUUUUCCAGACCAACUUUGAUAAAAGAGGCAUGAAAGUAUUGGUUAAAGAUUAUUUGGCAAUAGAUGGAAUUUCAGCAAUAGAAGCUACAAAUUAUGGAACUAGAGUGGAUAAUGAUGGCAGAAAUUUUUUUGUUGGAAAUUUUUAAUUAAGUGGACUUUGAUCUUCGGCCAUUUCUAUAAUGCAAAAAGAGAUGAUGCUAUAGGAAGCUUUAUUGAAAACUGCUACAACAAUUUGUAGUGCUACAGAUUGGGUGGAUCCUGUAGAAGCUUUGUCAAUACAUACAUAUAUUGAUAAAAGCCAACAUGAAGUUUUAAUGGAAGAAAAGAAGAGAGAAAAUUUUGAUGAUAUAAAAGAAAGAAAUUCUUUUAAGAGGCAAACUUGAGGAGAUAAGAUUCGUGCAGUGGCUUCACAAGAAUUGCCCACAAAAAAUACUUCAACAAUAUUGGAAGAAAAAGUAAAAAAAAUAAAAGAUAAAGGUAAAUUGACAACUUAUAAACUACUCUCUAAUAUUGAAGUAGCAACAGAUUUAAAGGAAGUGCUUGAAGAACAUGUGCUCAAUACUAAGAUUGAGUUUACAUUGAAAGAAAUUUUAGGAAUUGCCAAAAAAGAAUUCCAUAAUGUCAUUAUUGACAAUAUUAAAUGAAAGAUAUAAUUAAUGAGAGAAGUUGGAUUAAAUCAUGCUAUUAAUGUGCACAUAUGUGAAGAUAAAGAAGAUAUAUUUCAUAAUUAUUACAAACAAUCAGUAAGUGAAGAGAGGAGUCGUAAUGAAAGAAAAUAUUUUGGUGAUCAAGGUAAUAAAGAUAGAGAGGUUUUAAGUCAUUAUACUUGGAAGUAUUGGACUAAAGCAACUACAAAGGCAUUAAUAAAGAUUAGAGAUAUGGAUGAGCUAGUUGUUGCUUUGAUUGACUAUGAUUCAAAGAUAAACCUUAUGUCUAAGGAUCUUUAUAUGAAGCAAAAAUAACCAAUUGAUAGAAAGCAUGAAUGGGUAAUAUAGGCAGCUAAUAAUAUAUGAGAGAAGUUAUAUGGUGCUUAUCCAAAUGUGAAAAUUUGAAUUGGUGAUGUUGCAAUGGAGCAAAAUAUUUUUAUUCAAGAUGCAACAUCUUAUCCUUUUAUUUUGGGACAACCAUAUAUUAUUGUAACUCGGAUGGAAACAAAGGUACUUGAUGAUGGUUUAGCUUAUGGACAAAUUUGUAAUGAAGAUGGAAGGAGGGUAGUACAGUUUUUAAUUGUGCUUCUAAAUCAUGAACGGAAUUAAGACAAAUUGAAAGAAAAUCCACUGCCAAGGGUUAUUGAAGAAUUCAAGGAUUUUUUGAAGGUACUACUAAAAAGCGAGAUUAUAGAGAUACAAAAGGAGAAGUAUUCUUGUAAGAUGUAGGUACUUUUAAUGGAGGAUUUAUUCAUAUUUUUGAAAAUGGAAGUAAUAUAUAUAAGUAGAUUGAUGACUUAAAAAAAUGAAAAGAAAAAAAUCUAGUACUAUUGAAAAAGAAUUGUAUAGAUUAGAAAUAUUAAAAGAUAAUGAAAAGAUUAUUAAUAUUUAUAAAAAAAAUAGACUAAAUGAUCUUUUGGAAUUGAUUGCAUCUAUUGGAUUAAGUAAUAAUGAUAAAGUUAUAAUAAUUCAUUCAAGAGAAGUUUAUGAUAUGAUUGAAUCUUUUCAAACAUGAGAGGUUAUAGGUAAGAUAAAAUAUAAGACAGUAGAUAAGAAGGUUAAAUCAGUAAUUGGACCUUUGCCAUAAGAUUCUAAAGAACAAAUGGGAGAAGCAUCGAGAGAAAGGAGCUUGAAGGAUCCAAGGAAUAUUAGUCACAAGUUUACUAAAGAGACUUUUGAAGAAUUGAAGAUUGGUUCUGAUGGUUCUUUAUUACCAGAGGAAAUUAUUUGCUUCAAAGAGAUGUUGGAAACAUAAGAUAGAUCAUUUGCCUUUGAAUCUUACAAAAUUGGAUGUAAGGAUCGAAACAUUGUAACGCCUAUGGUUAUUUUCACUGUACCACAUGUACCUUAAAAUCUAAAGCCAAUUCCAGUACCAAGGAUAUAUUUACCAAGCUUGGUAGAAUUAUUAAAAGAAAAGAUGAAGAUGAAGAUUUUGGAGCCCUCUUUUGCACCAUAUUCUAGUCGAUAGUUUGCAGUGCCUAAGAAAAAUGGAUCAUUACAUUUUAUUUAAGAUAUGCAACCAAUGAAUGUGGUAACUAUUGAAAAUGCAUGAAUUGGGACUAUAAAAAAUGAAUUUACUAAGGCAAUUAUAGAAAGGGUGAUCUAUUCAAUGGGUGAUUUGUAUUCGAGCUAUGAUCAAUUUCAACUUAUAGAAGGAAGUAGAGAUAUGACAACAAUGAGAAUACCACUUAAAUUACUUAGAAUGUAUAUUCUUCCUCAAGGCAAAACCAACUCAAUUGCACAUAUGAUAAACGAGAUGAAUAAAGUAUUGAGAGAUUUUAAUUUUGAGAAGACUAUGCCUUUUCUAGAUGAUGUUCCUAUAAAUGGGUGCAAAAAAGAAGAGAAAAAUAAAACUAUAGAUAAGACAGGAUGUCACAAGUCUGUUGUUGAUCAUAUACAAGAUUGUAAUAAAAAAUAUUGACUCGGCUUGGAGAAGUUCAUCUUAUAUUAUUAGGUAUAAAAUCUACAUUUGGACUAUAAGAGGUUGUGAUUGUUGGACAUUUAUGUAGAUUUUAUAGAAGAAAACUAGAUCCAACGAAGGUUGAUGUGAUUGAAAGAAUGAAAGAGGAUUGUAGUUCUUUAACAUAGGUUCGCAGGUUUUUAGGUACAUAUGUAUUUUAUCGUAUUUAGAUUCUUCAUUAUGCUUACAUAGCGGAUCUAUUAUAUGAACUGUUAUGCAAGGACUAUCAAUUUAAUUCGAAAAAAAAGCAUAUUAAAGUAGUACAAAGAUUGAAGAAAUUAUUAUCAUCGCCUCUAGUAUUGAGAAAAGUUGAUUAUAAGUCCAAUAGAUCAAUGAUUCUUACAGUGGAUACUAGUUUGAUUGCCAUUAGAUGGACUGUAGGUCACAAUGAUUUAAUUGGAUAUAGAUUUAUAAUAUAAUUUAGAGCUAAGGUUUUAAUUACUUAUUAAUAUGCAUAUUCAUAUGUGAAAAGUUAACUAUAGAGAGUUAUUUUACCUAUGAAAGCUAAAAAAGAUUAUUUAAUUGGAGCUAUGGUGGUAAUUGAAAUGGAUUUUUUGUCUUUACUUAGAAUGAUUACCAAUUGCACAACACCAGAUAUUGUGAUGUUGAGAUGGAUUACUUAUAUCAAAUCGUUAAAUCCGGAAUUUAGACAUGUUGCAAGAUAAACAAUCCGGUAGCAAAUAUGUUAUCUCAAGUAAUAUAUGAAAGAAAAGACAAGAUGGUUGAAGAUAUUGAUGAUGUUGGAAAAAAAUUCUAUUCAGUAUCAAAUCUUAAUAAGGAAGACAAGAUGUUUUUUGAAAAGCUUUAUAAAAGAGAUUUAUUAGAAAUUGAUCUUUAUUUGAAUACCUUGACUAAAUAAGAAAAUUGGUCAAUAAAAAAAAUUAAUCAAAUAAGAAAAAAAGCUUAUAGAUUUUUGCUUUAAGAAGGGUUCUUAUGGAUUUUUACUUUAAGAAGGGUUCUUAUGGAAGAGACCAAAGAAAAGAAUUGGAAUGCCAAGACGAGUAGUAGGUACCAAAGAAGAUCAACAAAGACUACUCAAGGAGUUUCAUGAGAGUCUAUGAGGGGGACAUAGAGGAAUUUGGACUACUUUUGCUAAAUUGAAGGAACAAUAUUGAUAGAAGAAUAUGUAUCGAGAUGUAACUUUGUUUGUAGAAUCUUGUAUAACCUAUCAAAUGCAUUCAAAUAUACAACAUUGAGAUGGAUUACAUCUGACAUAUCUUUUAGCUAUUCUUUUUAAAUAGGUUGUGGAUUUGAUUAUUAUGCUGAUAGGACUAUAGCAAAUGAGAUAUUUAGUUUUGGCUUGUGAAGAUUUAUCAAACCAAGUAGAGGACAGGGCACUAAGAACAAAGUCUAUAGAGGGAAUUUACAGGUUUUUACUUGAAGAUGUUAUUUGUCACUGUAGAUGUCUAAGAAAGAUUACUGUAGAUCAUAUAGAAUUAGAUGCACAUGAAGCUCGUGAAUUUUUUAAGAGAUAUGAGAUUGAAUUAUCAUUGAUUACUACUUAUAAUCUAGAAGAGACUGCAAAGAGUGAAUUUUAUUAUAAUACAUUAUCGUUUGGCGUGAUUUGCUAUCUAAAAAUACACUGGGUAUCUAACUGUAGAGAGUUUAGCUUAAACCUUUAUAUGAAUCUUGUCUUAGACUUCCAAAAUUCAUUUAUUUUGCAUAAAACUCAAAAUAUAACAAAAUCCUUUCAAAACAUAAUUUUUUCGCGAAGGAUUUUCUUGUCCCAAACUUUAGAAAUUCAUAACUCUUGAUCUAGCCAUUCAAUUUAUCUCAAAUUUAUAGGAUUGGUAGAAUUCAUCUUUAACUUUUAAUGAAAAAAAAAAAAAAAAAAAAAAAAAAAAAAAAAACAAACAAACAAACAAACAAACAAACAAACAAACAACAACCAGAAAUUCACUUCCAAUCUUGUGGCAUCUGAGAAAUCCUAGUAGACGCUCUAAACCCUAAUUUACAAGAAACUAAGAAUUUCUUUCUUAAUAUCUCAAGAAUCCAAUACUUAAAUGUCAUAAAACUUAUGUACAAAGUUUACUAACAUGAAUUUAUACAUUUCCUAAAAUUUUGAGCCUAAACCUUGUCAAAUUGCUCAAGAUAUAGCUCAAGACACAACCACUAGUAAAUCGGGUCACUUACUACUUAUAGAUUGCAUGCAUUGACUUCAAAAUCCAAUAACUCCUUCAUUUCAACUUUGAAUCCAGCAAGCAAUAUGCAAAAAGUGUAGCCACAAAAGUGCUCUCUCUAGUCAUAGUCGCCGAUUCUCAAUUUCUAUUUGUACGCGUGCGUUAUGCCAAAAAAAAUGAUAAUAGCUCCCAAAUUAACAUCUUAACUUUGAGCGCCUAUAUAUCCUUCAUAUAAACUCCAAAUCAUACAAAAUAUACAUCCAAAUCAUAGCCAAAAAUCUAAACUUGCUGACCCUAGCCUUCAAAGCUUGAAUGGCUCCAAAAAACUAACCCUAAUCUCUAAUAUGGACUCAGGAAGCCUCCUCAAAGCCUAUUGGUCAUGAUUUUUGACCAAUAGAAAUAGAGAUUUUCAUCAUUCAUCUCCAUUCAUCUAUAUUGGUGCCCUAAUUACUCCCUUUGCUACCAAAAUCCUUCUUCAAUCCUUUUUCUUAUAAGAUUUACAUAAUUUAUGCUCUAAACACCAAAUAAAAGAACCAAAAUAAGUUUCCAAAGGUCACCAAUGUCUAACAAAGGUGACUCUAAAUAUUUAGAAGUUACUAUCAACAAAAACCAAUCUUAAAAGCCACUAUCAAAAAAAAAAAAAAAAUUAUACAAAUUCUAUAGUAAUCUUUUUAAACAACCUCUUUUCAAGGUAAUAAUCAAAUUAUAUUCUACAACCAACUAAAAUCUAAUAAUACGGCUUUCACCAUAUUAUUUAUUAAAUUAUAUAUCAAAUACAUAAUUAUAUUAUUUUCAUAUAAUAGCCGAACCAAAACACAACAACGUGAAGUCUUACUUAAGAAUGCUCUAGGCACCUAGUUGUAGAAGGUAGAAUAGAAAUUACAACAACAAUAUCCUAAUUCUAAUAAAAUACUAACAAUGCUAAACAAGCUUUAAUCAAAUUUAAAAAAACCUCAAAGGAAUUCCAAAGAAACAAUAAGAAAUCUUACACAAAUAUUAGAAUGAUUACAAACAUAUCUCAAAUACAUCUCAAUUCAAUCUUAAUUUAAUCCUAAUUGAAAUCUUAUUUGACUUCAUUCAAACUUUAGGCCAAAAACUAACUUAAUCUUAAAUCCUAAAUAAACUCAAAUAAAAUCCUAAAUCCUAAAUCAAAUCUUUAUCAAAUCCUAAUCAAAUCUUAAAUCCUAAAUCAAAUCCUAAAUCUUAAAUCAAAUCCUAAUCAAACUCUAAAUCCUAAACCAAAUCCUAAUCUUAAAUCAAAUUCUAACCAAAUCCUAAAUCCUAACUAAAUCCUAAUCCUAAUCCUAAAUCCUAAACCAAACUCUAAUCAAAUCAUAAUCCUAAAUCAAAUCCUAACCAAACCUCAAUCUUAAAUCAAAUCCUAACCAAAUCUUAAUAAUUCUACAAUAGAAUUAAACCUCAAUAAUUAAUAAAUAAACCAUUGAUCUUAAUUCAAAUUUUACAUACUUCUUAAAAACUAAGUUGAAAACAAGUACAAAAUUUUUGAAAAAGAUCGAAAUCAUCAAAUACAUGAUAACCUCAAAAAUGUGCUUGGGUAUUAGCUGGCUUCCUUCUCCAACCUUGAUGCCAAUCUUCUAGAGCCAAUAUCUCUUCUUUUCAUUGUUCGAUUGAUCUCAAAAUUUUCAUAUACAUAGAAAAAUAAGUCUUAUAUACUUUGACACAAUUGUACUCUGAUUCAACUCCAAAUUGCAAGAAAUCUUAAAAACCCUCAUUAGACCUAAAAUUCUACUUUUUGAGACCUUGACUCACUUAAACCUCAAUAAUCCUCAAUUUAACCAUUAGGUCAAGCUAAGAUUCAUAACACAUAUUAAGCAUAACUAUGACCAUUAAUCUAUAAAAUUUCACUUUUAGCUCUGUUAUAAAACUCUUGAAAUUACUAGAAACAAUAAUCCUAUUUUAUUUCACAAAAUCCAAGUCAUCCAAAAAUAAUCUUGACAUUGUAAAGCUCUUACAAAGUCAUAAAAACUUUAAAUCAUCCAAAACUAAUGCUCAUACGAAUCUUAUCCAAUCUGCUAUCAAAUCCUAUUCUUUGAUUUACAAAAGAACCCCGGACUCGUCGUCGAGACUUAGUUUUGUACCUCAUGGUCUGAUUUCAACCCUGGUUCAUAACUAGCCCUCUUUGGAUAUCAAUAUCUAGUUUUUUUAAGUAAAUUUUGUUAGAAUUUACUCUUAACUUCCUUCUAAAGAUGCUUAUAUCAUUUAUUUUUCCAAUCUACUUUGUUUUGCCUUAUUUAUGGCUCUACAAAGUGAAUAGAAGUCACUUUUCUAAAAAGGUAGUAUUACUACUAAAAGUUUUACUACUUCCCUAUCUUUUAUCCAUAUUUUUCUAUUUUAUCUUUUAAUUUGGCUCUUCUAUAAUAAGAUCCAUAUUAUCAUCUUUCACCAUAUAGCCAUGUUACAACACAACAACGUGAACAUCCAUUGAUUGUAAAAGCCUUACUUAAAGCUUGCAAUGGAAGAGUGAGAGAAUGGCCUCGACUUUUACCUUAUGCAUUAUGGAUUAAUCAAUCAACACAUAGUUUAAUGAUCAGAUAUAUACGAGUGGAUUUUAUGAUAGGUAAAAAAUCUAUUAUGUCAAUUGAAGAACAUAUGCCAACUUGGAGUAUGCUACUAUAAGAAAAUGGAUUGAUAAGGGAGGAAUUGUUAGCUAUUAAAAUAUGGCAACUUGAACAAAGAUGGAAAGAUAUCAAAUUAGCAUUAGAAAGGUUUAAAAAGGCAAGGUUAGGAAAUAAGUCUUGAUUUGAUAAGAAACAUUGAUUGAGGCCUAGAGCAAUUGAAGAAGGUGAUUGAAUCAUUGUUUAUGAUAUAGUCUGGACAAUCAACAUAGUGCUUUGCAAAAGUUUUCAAAAUAUUGAUUUUGACUAUAUGUAGUAGGAACGGUUCAUGAUAAUGCUACAUAUUCAUUAAGAGAAUUAGAUGGUACAAGGUUGAAGAUACCUAUUGCUACAAAGCAAGUGAAGAUUUUUAAAAGACGAGAUAGAGAAAUCAAUAUAGAGGAUCAUGUUGAAGAUAUCAAUAUUUUUGAAGAAGAUAAUUUUUUUUGAAGAAGAUGAUGAAAAUAGAAAUAAAAUAUUUCAUGAAGAAAAUAGAAAGAUGGUGUCAUGCCAAUUAUGGCAUAUGAUUUAUUUGUCAUAUUUCAGAAGAUGCACAUGUUAAGAAGGAAUGGAGGUCAUAUUGUGAUAUGAUUAUAUGAUAAAAAUAUGACUAAAAUGAUUUUUUAAUUAAUAUUCUAUUAUAUUAGUUCAAUAAGAAUUCAAAAUAUUUUAAUAAGAUUUUUAUAAAAGCCUCUUAGCCUAUUUUCUUGUCUUAAUAGUAAGUAGAUAAAAGUUGGUUAGUAUUUUUACCUUCUAGGAUAUAAAAACUUUUUUUACUACCUUAAAAAUGCCAUAAAUUAUUAAAAUUAGGAUAGAAGAGGUAAAUGGUUGAUAUGGUAGAAACUAGAGUCAAGUUGAUGAUAGGAUUGGGCUAAAAAAUCCUUAGGAUAGAUUAGAUUGAUAUCCAGGGAUCGACUUUUUGUGAGACAGGGUUGAAAUCAAACCUCUAGUUACUAAAAUAACCGCCUAGGGAAAAUUAGGGUUUCAUUCAAAGAUCAAAGUUUAGAAUUUGAGUGCUAGCUUCAAGUUCUUUCAUAUGGCAUAAGGGUGGUUUUUAUAGGAUUUCUAAAGACUUGAAAAUUAUUAUUCAAAGUCAAGGUUUAUAUUGGUGAUUUGGGUUUUAUAUAAUAUAACUAGGACUAGCAAUUUUGGCUAGUUCGUGCAAUUGGUGUAAAAUCUACAUUUCAAAAUUUGAAACCGUUUGGAUUAUUGGGUGUGCUAAGUGUAUACAAAAUUUUGUAAUAAUCUAAUAGUGUGGUUUAGAGAUAUGUGGUUUUUAGCACAAGAGGGUUUUAGAAGUUGGCAGUUUAAGGUUGGAUAGGAUUUGUAUAAUAUAUGGAGGUUUAUUAGUCAGAUCAAAGUAAAAUUUGGCAUGGUGUUGAAGGACUUGAAGAUCAAGCUGCAUACCAAUUUUGAGUCAAAGUUAAUAAUUGAAGAAGGAGAAAUCACUCCUAGGAUUUUUGCUUCACUUUUCAAGUUGGCGAUCGAGUGACAUCAGUGCAAUUUUUGGAGGUUUUCUUACAAUUUGGUUUUUUGGAUGUUUGUCAAACACAAACUCACUUUCUACAAUUGAGUGCCCAGUGCAUUCUUAAGUAAGACAAUACAUAAUAUGAUAAUAUAAUAAUUGAUUAUUUGAAAGAUGUCAAGAAUAAAGAUGUGGCUGAGAAGAAACAAAUUGAAUAAUAACAAUAGUUUUCUAAUUUUUAGAAACAUAUUUAUUAAAGCUAGAACUAAUGCAAAUUGAUAUGAUACAUUUUAAACUCCUCACAGAGCAGCAAAAGACUCAACAGCAUCAAAAGGGCUUAUGCUUACAUUAUGAAGAAGCUAAAUAUACUAUUCAAUAUUGUCCAAAGAAACAACGCAACCAUAAAAUGAAAAGCAUGGUUGCCAAAGAAGACAAUGUAUCAAAAAAAUAAAUUUUUCUAAUAAUAAUAGGGACCAUAAAGUUAAAAUCUUGUAUAACAUCUAAUAAAGAUCUUAUUCUCUCUUUAGAUCCCUCUCCUUAUUUUAUAAUAGAAAUUUAUUUAGGACCAAAAAAUCACAAAGUCUUGGCUUUAUUAGAUUUAGAAGUCUCAACCUGUUUUAUAGAAAAAGAUUUUUUCAAAAAAUAAGAAAUAUUUUUAGUAAAAAAAAACUAAACUUGUAGAUAUAAAAGUCAUAGAUGGUCAUUUACUAUCUUUUGGAGAUGUUAUGCAUAAGACUGUUCUUCAAGAUGUAGAAAUUAAAUAUUAUAAUAGCAUAGUAAUAUUUAAUGUAAUAAGAUCUCCAUCUAUUCUAAUUAUUUUAGGAUUAUCUUGAUUGAAAAAAUAUUAUCCUUAGAUAGAUUAGUUUUCUUGUGACCUUAAUUUUUCUAUAGUUUAAUUCAAAAUUCUUUUAGUCAAGUAUAAAUAUAUAAAUCUAAUAUAUCCAAAUUUUUAUUAAUAGGUGUAAAAGCUUUCAUGCAUGCUAUAAAAAAAGAGUUAUCUUUUGCUAUAUAUUCCAUGCUCAUUUUUGAUGGUAAAAAGACGUCAAAUAUUAUUCUUAGCUAGUAUCAAGAUUUCCAAUACAAUUUUGAAAAAAAAAAAUGUAGAUAUUUACUUAAAACAUUAUAUUUAUGAUUAUUCCAUUGAUCUUCAUAAAGAAAUUCAACCACCAUUUAGACCAAUCUAUAGCCUAUCACAAAACAAGUUAGCUACACUCAAGGAGUACAUUGAUGAAAAUUUGGCUAAAAAUUUCAUAUGUCAUUCUAAAUCUUUAACUAAGGUUCUUAUCUUAUUUAUAAAGAAAAAAGACAGAUCUUUGUGGAUGUGUAUAGACUAUUGAGAAUUCUACAAAAUCACCAUCAAGAAUAGAUAUCUUCUACCUUUGAUUUUAGGAAUUCUUGAUGAACUCAAUCAAGCAAAAUUUUAUAUAAAAAUAAAAUCUACAAUGAGCAUAUAAUCUGAUAUACAUUAAAGAAAGAGAUGAAUGGAAAACUAUGUUUUAAACCAAGUAUGGAUAUUUUGAAUAUAAUGUCAUACCUUUUAGACUUACAAAUGUACAAGAUACUUUUUAACAUCUAAAAAAUAAUGUCUUUUGUGAAUUUCUUGAUGAUUUUAUCAUCCAUUAUUUGAAUAACAUCUUAAUCUAUUCUAAGAAUAUAAAAGAGUAUGAAAUUCAUGUUCAUCAUAUGUUACAAAAACUUAAAGAUGCAAGAUUAUAUGUUAAGUUAAAAAAGUGUGUAUUUGACACUAUUCAAGUUGACUUCCUAGGAUACAUAAUUUCCAACAAAGAACUAAUAAUGGAUCUUAAGAAGGUCUAGACUAUCAUGGAUUAAAAGAUUUUAAAAACAGUAAAAAACAUACAAUGCUUUUUGGGCUUUAUCAAUUACUAUUGGAACUUCAUCAAGAUUUUUUUCAAGUUGCAACUCUACUUACAAGUUUGAAUUUUAAAGACAAACUUGAAUAAAAUAAAGAAGCCAAAUACUAUAUAUAUAGUUUUUUUUAUAUUUGAGCAAUAAAAUCAAUAUUGACUGUUGAUUCAACCUUUGUCAAGCUAAUUCAAUCAAAUAUGUCAUCUUAUCUUCUUAUUCAUAAUAUCAAAAAUAAUUCUUUUAAGUCUCAUGAUACUUCCAAGUUUGAACAUAAGAAUAACUUAUUAUAUUUUGAAGGAUGGUUAUACAUUCCAAAAGGUGGGACAAAAUUACAUUGUCAUAUUAUGUAUUGUCUUCUUUAGAAAUGCAUCAUGCACUCAGCUCUAGAAAGUGAGGUUAUAUUUCAUAAAUAUCCAAGAAAUCUUAAUAGGUUUCACUCAUAUGAAAAGAAUAUAAUCCAAAUUAUAAUUCAAAAGUACUAAAAAACUCUCUUUUUAAUAGCAUUAAUCAUACAUAAAUCUCAAUUACCUUUUUAUUUUCAUAUUUAAGCAAUUUAGAUUUUUCUUAUAAGCCUCAAUCCUAAUUAGUGAGUUUUAACAAGCUGUAACUUUUAAUCUGAUUGUCCACUUGAUGUAAAAAUUUUCAUACAAUUAUCAAUAUAAGUUUUCUAUAUGCUCAAAUAAUUUUCAGUCCAAUCCAACUUACAAAUUGUAAGAAACCUUCCAAAAAUUGCAUUGAUAUUACUUAGCCACCAACUUGAAAAGUGAAGCAAAAAUCUUAGCAAUAAUUUCUCCUUCUUUACUUAUUAACUUUAAUUCAAAAUUAGUAUGUAGCUUGAUCUUUAAGUCCUUCAAUACCAUGCCAAAUUUCACCUUGAUCCAAUUAGUAGAUCUCUAAAUAUCACAUAAAUCCUAUCCAACCCCAAACUGCCAACUUCCAAAAUCCUCUUGUGCUAAAAACCACAUAUCUUUAAACCACACUGUUAGAUUAUUACAAUAUUUUUUAUACACUUACUACAUCCAAUAACCCAAAUAGUUUUAAAUUUUAAAUUAUAGAUGCUAUACCAAUUGCACAAACUAGCCAAAAUUGCUAGUCCUAGUUAUAUUAUAUAAAAUCCAAAUCACUAAUGUAAACCUUGACUUUGAAUAAUAAUUUUCAAAUCUUCAAAAACCUUACCAAAAAAAUCCUUAUGCCUUUAGAAAGAACUUCAAGCUAACUCUCAAAUUCUAACCUUUGAUCUUUGAAUGAAAUCCUAAUUUACUCGAGGCAGUCAUUUUAGUAAAUAGAGAUUUGAUUUCGACCCUGUCUCACAAACAAUCAAUCCUUGAGUAUCAAUCUAAUCUAUCCUAAGGAUUUUUUAGCCCAAUCCUAUCUUCAACUUGACCUUAGUUUCUAUCAUAUCAACCAUUUAUCUCUUCUAUCCUGAUUUUAAUAAAUUAUCAUUUUUUUAAGGUAAUAAAAAAGUUUCUAUAUCCUAGAAGGUAAAAAUACUAAUUAACUUUUAUCUACUUGCUAUUAAGACAAGAAAAUAGGCUAAGAGACUUUCAUAAAAGUCUUAUUAAAAUAUUUUGAAUUCUUGUUGAACUAAUAUAAUAGAAUAUUAAUUAAAAAAUCAUUUUUAGUCAUAUUUUCACCAUAUAAUCAUGUCACAACAUGACAACAUGUUCUUUAAACUUGUCAUGGCUUUCUAGUAACCAGACAUUUUGAAUACAACAAAACUUUGGAGUUAAUAUUAAAAUAUUUUUAGCGGCGUUAAAUGUAGAAGGCAGCCAAAGACUUUUUAUAAUCAUGUGAUAUUUUUUUAAGAUUCAAAACUCCUCGCCAUUGAUCUUAUGGACUUCUUCAACCAUUAUCUAUUUCAAAACAACUAUGGUCUUUUGUUUCUAUAGAUUUUAUGACAAAUCUUCUCAUCUCAAGUUUGUAUGAUUUUUUAUUUAUGGUAGUACAUCAUUUUAUCAAGAUGGCACCUUUUAAACUAUGUUCAAAAUAUAUUUUUGGUGAAAAAAUGGCUAGGCUUUCACUUAACAAUAUCUAUUGCUAUCACAGAUUUCUUAAAGAUAGUAUAUCAGAUAAGAGGAUUCAAUUUACAUCAAGAUUUUGGAGAAUUCUUUUCAAGAUUUUAAAGGUGGAUAUAAAUCUCUCUUUGACUUUUUAUCCUCAAACUGAUGUAUAAACAAAAUGGGUGAAUCAAGUUUUGGAACAAUAUUUGAGGUGUAUUAUCAACUAUCAUGAAGAUAAUUAGACAAUUCUUUUUCUAUUGGCAAAGUUUGCAUACAAUAAUUCAAUACAUUCUUCUACUCAAUUGUAGCCUUGGACCUUUUUUUAUUAGUAGAAAAGUCAAUCAUGUUGCUUAUUGAUUGUAUGUAUAGGAUUCUAUGAAGAUCGACCUCGUAUUUCACAUGUCUCUUCUUCAGUCAUAUAAAAUAGUGAAUAUCUCGAGAAAAAUACAAAUGCCACCUCUUCUUAUAGAAUUGUAUAAUAAUCAAGAAUUUGAAGUGGAAGAAGUCUUAAAUUCAAAACAGCACCAAAAUAGUUUGGAAUAUUUUAUUCAUUGGUAUGGAUAUGUUAUUAGUGAAUGCACAUAGGAGUUAGCAAAGAAUCUUGCAAAUAUAGCAAAGAGAGUUGAAGCUUUUCAUUGACAACAUGUAUCAAAAUUAAGAUGAAGAAUAGUAAAUCUUUGCUAUAAAGAGAAACAAGAUCAAAAGAAGAUAAGACUCUACUUUCUAUCCUUCUUUUUAGCUUUUGUGUAUUUUUGAUGCUAAGAAGAUAAAGAACCAACAACUAGUAGAUUCAAUUCAAGAGCUUUCAUUUGCUAACUUAUCAAACAAGACAUUAUAAUUGUCACAACCUUCAAGAUGACGUAAUUGAGAUGAAGAUCCUCAAGAACAACAUAUUCUUUCUUGAAUACAUGGUAAGAUAUAACAUGUUUGGUAUUACAACCUUAGAAAAGACUCUCAAUGUUUGAUGAUUUUAUUAGAGAUAGAAACAACUCUUGAUGGUGUUCCAAAUUUUUUAUUUGAAAGAAGUUAUAAAGGUCUCACUAACAAUCAAAUAACAAGGUGAUCUUCUUGCCUUGGUAUGGAAUGCUAUCGAUGGCUAAGAGGACCUAUCAACCAUCUUCAAAGAGAAUAAAGAUCAAAAUAUGUGGCAAAUACAAUUCAUUACAUCUUGGAUUUCAUCAACACAUGAUGAUCGCUUCUUAUGGAACUCAUUUCUAGAAGAAGAGAUAAUAUCAUAGAUAUAUAUACAUAUUUUAGUAAAUACUUAUAUGAUUAUAUAGAAAUUGAUUAAAAUAGAUAAAAAUAGGUUAAUUUCAUAAUAUCUUCUAAAGAAGCAUUCAAGAAGCUUCAUAGAUAUUGCUUUGACUUUACAUGUAUUUAUAGUUGAUUGAUAGAUUAGAGACUUGGUCAAUAAGUUAACCACAUGUUGGUAGCUUGUAGAACAAGGUAACUAUAUGGCAUAUAUAUAGAAAACUUACCUUGCAAAUUAAGAUACAUAUUUUGUAACAUCAACAUGUUUAAGAGGUACUAUAGGACAUUGCCACGGAGAUCUUAAUUAAGAGUAUAUAUAGAGGCAAAAGUGAAGCCUUCUUCACUCUUAUCAAUGUUUUUUUAGUAUUAAUUCUUCUCUCAAGACUUCUAGUUUUUAUUUUUAAGAAUAACCAUUCUAGUUCAAUAUUAUAUCAUCUAAUUUUUUUCAAUGAUACAAGAGUGUGUUGAGGAUUUUUUUUUUUGAAAUUCAUGUCUUUGAUAAUAUUUUAUAUUAUUCAAGUCAACUUCUUAAGAUAUAUCAUUUCAAAUGAUGGACAUAUGAUUGAUCUUAAGAAAGCUUAAACUAUAACAGAUUGGAAGAUCUCAAAAAUAAUAAGUUAUGUUUAAUAUUUUUUAGAAUUUACGAAUUAUUAUUGAAUUUUUAUCAAGAAUUUUUUUUAAGUUGUAACUCUACUUAUACAUUUGACUUGUAAAGACAAACUUGAGUAGAAUUAAGAAAUAAAAAUAACAUUUGAACUUUAAAGAUAGUUUUUGUUUCUACAUCAAACUUAUAUUAUAUUAACUUUUUUUAAGCCAUUUUUUAUAGACAUAGAUGCAUUGGACUUUAUUUUAUAUUUUAUAUUAUUACAAAUAGGAAUAGAUGAUAAACUUCAUUGAGUAGCUUUAUAUUUAAGAAAUUUUUCAAAAUCCAAGAUCAACUAUAAGAUCUUUAAUAAAGAACUUCUUACAAUUAUGGGUUUAUUUCAAGAAUGGUAUUGUUAUCUAGAAAGACCUUCUAAUCCAAGAAUUAUAUAUACAUAUCUUAAGAAUCUCAAGUAUUUCACACUAGUACAUAUUUUAAAUCAUCACCAAGCUAGUUGAAGUAUGUUGUUGUCUAGAUUUAAAUUCAAAAUCACUUAUUGACUAAAAAAAUAAUAAGAUUGAUUACAUACUCUUUUUAGACAAUCUAAUCUUAUAUAAAAAAAAAAUAGAUAUUUAUUAACAAUAGACCAUUUUCUUGAAGCCAAAGUAAUUUUAUCUUUGAACAAUGAAAUCAAUAUUAAAUAUUAAUUCAAAUUUUUUCAAGAAAAUCAAAAAAAAUAUAUCUUUUGAUCCUCUAGUUUGUGAUAUUAAGGAAAAUGCUUCAAAAUCUCAUGUUCUUUCAAAUUUAACCUUAAAAACAAUCUAUUCUAUUUUGAAAGAUGUUAAUAUGCUCCAAAAAGGGAAGCACAAUUACUGUCAUGGACAUACUCAUAAUUACAUAUACAAAUAUGUAGAAGCAAAUAAAAGUAAGUAAAAGUAAGUUAAUUCUAUAGUAUUUGAUAUAGAAGCUUCCUAACAACUUCAUAGAUGUUGUUUUGACUUCAUAGGUAUCUUUAAUUGACUUUUUGGAUUAGAAACGUGGUCAACAAGUUGGCCAUGUGCCACACAUGUUGUUACCUUGAAGACCAAGCUAACUAUGUGGCCCACACGUAGAAAAACUUGCCUUGUAAGUCAAGGGAUGUGUCCUACAAAGUCAACACAUAUUGGAGGUCCUAUAGAAUGUUGCAACGUAGUCCCUAGUUAGAUAGUAUAUAUAGAGACAAGAGGGAAGCCUUCUUCACUCUUGUCAACUCCUUUCUUGCUUCUAAUCUAGUUCAAAGGGUCUCUAGUUUUUUUAUCUUUUGGCAAUAGCCAUUCCUGUUUCUCUUUUAAUAUACAUACUUGUUUAUUUAUAUUUUGUUACCUUUCUUUGAGUGAAGGCUCACUGGUCUGAAUUACUUUUUCAUUGAGUUCUUGUCCUUGACAAAUUGACAAGACUACACCUACAAUAUCAGAGCUUUGUCUAAUCUUGAUUAAGAGUAUAUUACCUCUUUUUUUUAUAUAAGAUAUAAGCAUGUUAGAAGUUGCGGAUUAUCCUCUUUUAAAUUGAUAUUGUCUUUAGUAUUUUUUUUGUUCUUAAGUCCUCUUUUCUAUUUGUCUUGAGCGAUAUUAGACAUCUUCCCUUUUCUUAGUGUUAUCAAGGCAGAACUUCUUGAAAUGGAAAGUGUAAUGGUACAAAUACAAGAACAAUUGAAGGAGUUAAUACUUGUGAUGCAUCAACUCAAUUUACUACCACAAAGAACAACAAGAUUGUCAGGAAGUGAAGAUAUAGAAAUGGUUGGAACUGCUUCAACACCUGCAUUAAAUCAUGUCCUUUUUCCUAUGGAAGAACAUCCUUUCAGUAUUAGAGAAUCAAGAAUUACUCUAUCCAAGAAGUUUGAUGGCACCAAAUCUAAAUUUUGAGGAUUUAUCAAUCAAAUGGAACUUAUGAUUGAACUUCAACCCCAAAGCUAUCCAACUCCAAGAUCGCAAGUUAGAUUCAUUGAUACACUUCUUUCAGGUUCAACACUAUCAUGGUUUUCAUCUAUUCUUGAUCGACGAGAUCCAAUAUUAGAUAAUCUAGAGGCUUUUAUGGUGGAGUUUCGAUCCAUGUAUGGAGAACAUGAUGCAAUUCGUGUUGCAACCAAUAAGAUCCGUAUUUUACUACAAGGCAAUCAAUCAAUAAUGUUGUAUGCUUCACAAUUUUGAUAACUUGCAACUGAUGUCAAGUGGGAUGAUGCUGCACUUAUUAGCCAAUUUCUCAAUAGAUUACAAUAUGAGGUAAAAAAAUUAAUGCUCAACUUACCUAAUCCUCAAACAUUGAGUCAAGCAAUUGACUUUGCUGUGAAGUGCGACAAUCGCCUUUUUGAAUUUUGAUCUGAGAACCGUACAAGUGCACCUCAACGUUACUAUAAUUCAAUGGUUACACCAAUACCUCUUCAAUACAUACAUUUGCAGUAGAGGAUAUGUAAAAUGAUGCAAUACGUUUCAAACCUCUUACUCAGCAAGAAAAGACUUGUCGUCGUCAAGGAUUAUAUUUAUAUUGUAGAGAACCAAAACAUACUGCUCAACAUUGUCCAAAGAAACGACACAACCACAAAAUGAGGAGUAUGGCUGUGAAAGAAGACAAUAUGUUGAAAAACGAGUUUGUCCAGCUAUAAUAGGGACCGUGCAGCUGGAACCUUGCACAACAUCUAGUAAAGGUCCUAAUCUCUCUUCAGAGCCCUCUCCUUGUUUUACAUUAAAUGUUAUUUUAGGACCUAAACAUUACAAAGUCUCUGCCUUGUUAGAUUCAGGAGCCUCAGCGUGUUUUUUUGAUGAAGAAUUUACUAAAAGACAUAGCAUAUCUUUAGUAAAGAAAACUAAACCUGUUCAUGUAGAAGUCAUAGAUGGUCGUCCAUUAUCUUCUGGAGAUAUUACUCACGAAACCUUUCCUAUAGAAGUAAUAAUCAAUGGUCAUAAUAGUUUUGUAGUAUUUAAUAUCAUUAGAUCUCCCUCUAAUCCAGUCAUUUUAGGUUUAUCAUGGUUGAAAAAAUACAACCCUCAAAUAGAUUGGAUCUCUCAAACUCUUACUUUCUCUAAAAGUAUAACUAACAGUGUAGUUAAUCAAGUAGAGAGUCAUAAAUCCAGUUCAAUUAAACCCGUAUUUAUAGGUGCAAAAGCUUUCUUGCAUGCUGCUAUGAAAGAAUCACCAUAUAUUAUUUAUGCCACACCUGUUUUUACUGGUGAAAAGACUUCAAGUGGCAUUCCAAGCCAAUAUCAAGAAAUUUAAGAUGUAUUUGAAGAAAAGAAUAUAGAUACACUCUAAGAACAUCGUCCCUAUGAUUGCUCAAUUGAUCUUCAAGAAGAAGCACAACUGCCAUUCUGACCAAUCUAUAGUUUAUCACAAAAUGAGUUGACUGAACUCAAGGAGUAUAUUGAAGAAAAUCUAGUCAAGAAUUUCAUACGCCAUUCUAAAUCUCCGACAAGAGCUCCAAUUCUAUUUGUGAAGAAAAAAGAUAGAUCAUUGUGGAUGUGUGUUGAUUAUCGAGGACUCAACAAGUUUACCAUCAAAAACAGGUAUCCACUACCUUUAAUAUCUGGACUUCUUCAUCAGCUGAAUCAAACUAAGAUCUAUACAAAAAUAGAUCUCUGAGGAGCAUACAAUCUAGUAUGCAUCAAAGAAGGAGAUGAAUAGAAGACUGCGUUUCGAACUAGGUAUGGACAUUUUGAAUACAACGUCAUACCUUUUGGACUUACAAAUGCACCAGCAGCUUUUCAACAUCUAAUAAAUGAUAUUUUUCAAGAGUUUUUAGACGAUUUUGUGGUCUAUUAUCUAGAUGACAUCUUGAUCUAUUCUAAGAAUCUAGAAGAACAUGAACUUCAUGUUCGUCAUGUGUUACAAAAAUUAAGAGAUGCCUUGUCUAAACAUUCUUAUCUUACACCAAAAGAAGGAGAUGUAGCUUUUGAGCAACAAAGAAUAGUUCUUUUGAAGUCGGAGAAAUUUCAUCUUCGAGCAAUAAAAUCAACAUUGACUGUUGCUUUAACUUUUAUCAAGCAAGUUCAAUAUGUCUUCAGACCCUCUUGUUUUUGAUAUCAAGAAUAAUUCUUCUAAAUCUCAUGAUCCCUCUAAAUUUGAGUUCAAAAACAACCUACUCUAUUUCAAAGGAUACCUUAAUAUUCCAGAAGGAAAAGUACGUUUACGUAUUCUUCAAGCUCGUCAUCACUUCCCAGCAACAAGAUAUUUUGGAUACAAUAAGACUUUGGAGCUGAUAUCUGGGGAUUUUUGGUGGCCUCAAAUGUAGAAGGCAGUCAAAGAUUUUGUACAAUCAUGUGAUAUUUGUUCAAGAUCAAAAACUCCUCGUCAUCAACCUUUUGGACUUCUUCAGCCAUUACCUAUUUCAAAACAACCAUGGUCUUCUGUUUCUAUGGACUUCAUCACCGAUCUUCCAAUCUCAGGUUCUUAUGACUCUAUAUCCGUGAUAGUAGAUUGUUUUACCAAGAUGGCACAUUUUGUACCAUGUAGAAAAUCUAUCAUAGGUGAAGAAACAGCUAAGCUCUUUCUUGACAAUAUCUAUCGCUAUCAUGGAUUAUCCAAGGAUAUUAUAUCAGAUAGGAAAAGUCAAUUUAUAUCAAGAUUUUGGCAGACUCUUUUCAAGAUUCUAAAAGUGGAUAUAAAACUAUCUUCGACAUUCCAUCCUCAAAUUGAUGGAUAAAUGGAGAGUGUUAAUCAAGUUUUGGAGCAAUAUUUAAGAUGUACCAUCAACUACCAACAAGGUGAUUGGACAACUCUUUUGCCAUUAGUAGAGUUUGCUUAUAAUAAUACAGUACAUUCUUCUACAAAACAAACACCUUUCUUUGCUAAUUAUGGUUAUCAUCCAUGACUUGAUAUUUUUGACUUUUUAAAAGUUGAUAAUCCUGCUGCGAAAGAUUUGGUGAUUCAUUUAUCAAAGCUACAUGCAACGAUGAAGGCGCAGUUAAAAGAGACUCAAGAACAACAAAGGAUCAAUGCGGAUGUCUAUCGAAAGGAACAACCACCAUUCCACUUAGGUGAUAAGGUAUGGCUACUCCAUCGCAAUAUCAAGACCACUCAUCCUUGUGACAAGUUGGACUAUCGAAAGCUGGGACCAUUUUUUACACAAAUCAAUCCAUUUUUAUAUCAUUUACAUCUAUCGGAGUCAAUGAAAAUCCAUCUAGUAUUCCACGUGUCUCUUCUUAAACCAUACAAGACAGUGGACAUACCAAGAAGAAAACAAUCUCUACCUCCUCCUAUAGAAGUGGACAAUAAUGAAGAGUUUGAAGUAGAAGAAGUCUUAGAUUCAAGGCGACGUCGAAAUAAAUUGGAAUAUCUUAUCCAUUGGUAUGGAUAUGAUAUUAGUGAAUGCACAUGGGAGCCAGUAAAGAAUCUUAUAAAUGCAGCAAAGGCGGUAGAGGCUUUUCAUCGACGACAUCCAUCAAAAUCAAAAUAAAAACCUUCUUUAUAAAAGAAACAAUAUCUAGGCAAGAUAACAUUCUACUUUCAAUCCUUAGUUGUAGCUUCUUUAUAGUUGUGAUGCUCAAGAGAUAGAGAAUCAAUAACCAGCAGAUUCGACUCAAGAGCCUUCAUUUGCUGACCUACCAGACGAGACAUUAUGAUUGUCGUAACCUUCAAGACGAUACAAUUGAGAUGAAGAUCUUCAAGAACGACAUGUUCUUCCUCGAAUAGAUGGCGAGAUACAACGCGUUUGAUAUCACGACUUGAGAAGGGACUCCCGAUGUUUGGUGAUUUUACUAGAGAUAGGAACAACUCCUGAUGGUGUUCCAAAUAUUCUAUUCGAAGGAAGUUAUGACGGCCUCAACAAUGAUCAAAUAACUGGGUUGUCUUUUCGCCUUGGUAUGGGACACUAUCGUUGCUUGAGAGGCCCUAUCAAUCAUCUUCGAAGAGAACAAAGAUCAGAGUAUGUAGCGAAUAUAAUUUGUCGCAUCAUAGAUUUUUUUCAACAUAUGAUAACCACUCCUUGUAGAACUCGUCCCUAGAAGGGGAGAUAAUUUCAUAGACAUACUCAUAAUUACAUAUACAAAUAUGUAGAAAUAAAUAAAAGUAAAUUAAUUCUAUAGUAUUUAAUAUGGAAGCUUCCUAGAAGCUUUAUAGAUACUGCUUUGACUUCAUAGGUGUCUUUAAUUGAUUUUUUGGAUUAGAAAUGUGAUCAACAAGAUGGCCAUGUGCCACACAUGUUGUUAGCUUGAAGACCAAGCUAACUAUGUGACCCACACACAAAAAAACUUGCCUUGUAAGUCAAGGCAUAUGUCCUACAAAGUCAACACAUAUUGGAGGUCCUAUAGAACGUUGCCACGUAGCCUCUAGUUAGAUAGUAUAUAUAGAGACAAGAGGGAAGCCUUCUUCACUCUUGUCAACUCCUUUUUUGCUUCCAGUCUAGUUCCAAGGGUCUCUAGUUUUCUUGUCUUUUAGCAAUAGCCAUUCCAAUUUUUCUUUUAAUAUACAUACUUGUUUAUUUAUAUUUUGUUACCUUUCUUUGAGUGAAGGUUCACUAAUCUGAAUUACUUUUUCAUUGAGUUCUUCUCCUUGACAAUUACAUAUUUUUUAAGCUUGUCGUGACUUUCUAGUAGCAGGAUAUUUUGAAUACAGUAAGAUUUUGGAACUACUAUUUAGGGAUUUUUGGUAGCAUCAUAUAUAAAAGGUAGUCAAAGACGUUGAACAAUCAUUUGAUGUUUGCUUAAGAUCAAAUAUUCCUUGUUAUUAACCUUACAAACUUCUUUUAUUAUUACUUAUUCCUAAACAAUUAUGGUCUUUUGUUUCUUUAGAUUUUAUUAUAGACCUUUCAAUCUCAGAUUCUAAUGAUUCUAUAUUUGUGAUAAUAGAUUGUUUAAACAAGAUUAUUUAUUUUAUACUAUAUAUAAAAUCUAUCAUAAGUAAAAAAAUAGUUAAGCUUUUUUUUUUAUAAUAUCUAUCUCUAUUAUAGAUUAUUCAAAUUAUGAGACUCAAUUUAUAUCAAGAUUUCAAAGAUUUUUUUUAAGAUUCUAAAAAUAUGUAUAAAACUAUAUUGGCUUUUUAUCUUUAAAUUAAUGGACAAAAAAAGCAAAUUAAUUAAGUUUUGAAGCAAUAUUUGAGAUGUACCAUCAAUUGUUAAUAAGAUAAUUGAACAAGUCUUUUGUCAUUGACAAAAACUACUUGUAAUAAUAUGAUAUACUGUUUUAUUCAAUAAAUAUCUUUUUUUAUUAAUUAUAAAAGUCAUCUAUAACUUGAUGUACUUUUGACUUUUUAAAAAUUAAUAAUGUUAUGGUAGAAGAUUUGGCAAAUUAUUUAUAUGACUUACAUACAACAAUAAAGGUACAUCUAAAAGAAUUUCAAGAACAACAAAAAAUCAAUGUUGAUGCAUUUUGUAGGGAACAUCUCAAUUUCAUAUUGGUAAGAAGGUAUGGUUAUUUUGUCGUAAUAUUAAGACUAUUUGCCCUUAUGGCAAGUUGAAUUACUAUAGACUUUGAUCACUUUUUAUGUAUGAACAAAUCAAUCUACUUUCUUAUUGAUUACAUCUAGUAGUGUUAUAUGGCAUAAUUUUCUAUUUAGAUAUAUACUAAAUAUUUAGUUGUAGAAAGUUUAACUUUUACUUAUUGGACAAGUUCCAAUAAGUGAUAUUUUCUUAUAAUAAAAGCCAAAGAAAUAUGAUAGUAUUUAAAGAUAUUUUAUUAAUAAAAUUCUUUUAUAUUUAAAAAGCUUUACACGUAAGGCUUUCUAAAGCAUCUAGAAAAAUCCUAACAUCCUUUGCUACACCAAAUCAUAACUAAUUUUUUGUCGAUAAGUUUGAUUUUUCAUAAGCUCAAAGAAAAUCCAUAAUCCUCUUACAAAUAUCUAUCUUUAUAUCAUAAUUUUUUCAUAGCUUUAUUCUUCUAUUUUUAAUAUAUUUAUAAAGUCUUAACUUCUAAAAACUCUUUUACUUUGCAUAAAAUGCCUAAAUUAUAUCAAAACUCUUUCUAAACAUUUUUCUCUAGCAAAGGGCUUUUCAUCCUUUUUCAAUUUUUUUCAAACUUCUAUAUACUAUAAAAAUUAUUUUAAACUUUAUCACAUAAAAAAGAAUCCUAAAUCUUCUAUUAAUCAUCUGAUAUUUUAGAAAUCCUAGUAGUUAUUUUAAAUCCUAAUUUACAAGUACUACAACACUAUUUUCUCCAUAUCACAAAAAUUCAAACUCCAAAUCCUAUAAAAUUUGUAUAUAAAAUUUAUCAAUAUGAUAAUUCAUAUUCUUAAAAAUAUUUAGUCAAAAUCUUUUCAAAUUUCUCAUUUAGAUUAAAAUAUCUUAUUUAUUGAUAUAGAUAUAAUAUUAAUAAAUAUUCUUAGAAAUUAACAAAGAAUCUUACAAAUUCAAUAGAUAACGUCAAAGCUUUUUAUCAACAACAUCCAUCAAAAUUGAAAUGAAGAAUUAAUUAAAUAUUUAUAUAAAAGAAAUGAUAUUCAAUAAAGAUAAUAUUCUAUCUUCUAUCUUUCAUUGUAAUUUCUUUGUAUUAGUAGCAACUAUAAGAAAGAGAACCAAAAACCAAUAGAUUUAACUCAAAAACUAUUAUUUGCUGACUUAUUGGACAAAACAUUGUGAUUUUCAUAGCCUUUAAGAUGAUGUAAUAAAGAUGAAUAUCUUUAAGAAGAUGUUUGGUAUUACAACCUUGGAAGAAGCUCACAAUGUUUGGUGAUUUUAUUAAAGGUAGAAACAACUUUUAAUGGUAUUACAAAUAUUUCGUUUGAAAGAAGUUACAAAGGCCUCAAAAAUGAUCAAAUAAUAGGAUGGUCUUUUUACUAUAGAAUGAGACAUUAUUGAUGGCUAAAUCGACUUAUUAAUUAUCUUUGAAGAAAAUAAAAGCCAAAAUAUGUGGCAAAUAUAAUUUGUCACAUUUUGGACUUUCUAAGUAUUUAAUCACUAUUCCUUAUGGAACUUGUCCCUAAAAAAGAAGAUAAUAUCAUAAAAAUAUAUGUAUUUAUUUUAAUAAUUAUAUAAAAAUAUAAAUAGAUAGAAAUAAAUAAACAUAGGUUAAUUUGAUAAUAUCUUAUAGAAAAGCUUUCUAAAAGCUUUAUAGAUGCGAUUUCGCCUUUAUACAUAUCUAUAGGUGAUUGAUAGGUUAAGAACUUGGCCAAUAAGUUAGUCAUGUAUCACAUAUGUUCAUAGCUUGGGGUACAAACUAUCUAUGUAGCAUACAUAUAGGAAACUUAUCUUGUAAGUUAAAACACAUAUUUUGGAAAUUGAGCAUGUAUCAAAGGUCCUAUAAAACCAUAUAGCUCCUAGAUAGAUAAUAUAUAUGUAGAAACAAGAGUGAAGCUUUCUUUAUUCUUAUGAAUUUAUUUCUUAUUUCUAGCUUCGUUUCAAGAAUCUUUAGUUUUCUUAUCUUUUCUACUUUUUUUCUUAAUAUAUAUGCUUCUUAAUUUCUAUUUUAUCAUUUUUCUUUGAAAAAAGUCUCACUUGUUUAUUUACUUUCAUCAAUUUUUUACCUUUGAAAAUUGAAAAAUAAGAUUAAAGACAAACUUAUAUAUAAAUAUUUGAGCAUUGAUUUUAAUUGAUUUUAGUAGAUAUUAACUUUGAAAAUUAGACUAGAAGUAAGAAAUGAAUUGAUAAGAGUGAAGAAGGCUUCUCUCUCUCUCUCUCUCUCUCUCUCUCUCUCUAUAUAUAUAUAUAUAUAUAUAUAUACUAUCUAAUUAAGAACUAUUUGGCAACAUUCUUUAAGAUCUAUAAUAAGUGUCUAAUUUAUAACAUAUGUAUUUUAACUUACAAGGCAAGUUUUUCAUGUGUAUGUCACAUCGUUAGCUUAUACUAUAAGCUACUAACAUAUGCAAUACAUAGCUAACUUAGUGAUUAAAUGUUCAAUCUAUCAAUCAUCUAUAAAUACAUGUAAAGAUAAAAUCACAUUUAUAAAGCUUUUAUAAUACUUUUCUAUAAGAUAUUAUUAAACUAAUCUAUUUUUAUAAACUUCUAAUUAAUCAUAUUAUCUAGAUAGUUAUUAGAAUAAAUAUAUUUGUCUAUGAUACAAAGCUGAAAAAAAUAGCCAUAUUCAAGCAGAUUAAGAUUUUUUUAUUCCAAUUUUUAAUUUAAUUUUUUUAAAAUUUUGUAUCCUUUUUGUUAAAUAGUUGAUUAAUUUUUUUUACAUUUUAAAUUAAGAUCAAUAAUUUUUAUGAAUAAUUAUUAAAGUUUAAAAAGUACAAUAAAGUUUGAUCAUAAUUGGUUAAGUUUUAAUUAAGAUUUUUUAAAGAUUUUUUCGGAUUUUAUUAGAAUUCUUAGGAUUAUAAUUAGAAUUUACUUAAGAUUUGAUUAAGAUUUUUUAGAAUUUACUUAGGAUUUCUUUAUGGUUUUUAUAGAGAUUUUUUUUUUCAAUUAUUUAAGAUGUCUUUAUAAUUUCUUUAGAGAUUUUUUAGGACUUUUAAUUUUUUAAAAAAAUAUUUAAUUAAGAUUUGAUUAAGCUUAGAAUUAUUAAGAUUUUAUUAGAAUUUUUUUAUUUAUUUACUAGGAUUUUUAGUUUUUUUAAUAGUUACAAAAUACAAGUUUAUCUUUUACAACCAAGUGUCAAAUGCAUUCUUAAACAAGACAACACAUAAUAUGAUAGCAUAUGGAUAGAAAUUGAAAUGGGACAAAAAAUAGAUGACACUUAUAACAAAUCUAACAAAGUAAAAUGUGCAAAUGCUAUGUUGUUGUAUUGUACCACAACUAUAUGGUAAAGAUAUAAAAAAUAAAAAAUAAAAAAAAUAACUAAUAUAUAUAUUAUUUUAGUUCAAUAAGAAUUCUAGAUAUUUAAACAUGGCUUUAUAAAAUCUUGUUAGUUUAUAUUUCUUGUCUUAAUAUUAAAUAAUUUGAAGUUAAUCAAAAAAAUUCUUUCAAAGUUAUAUUUUAUAGUAAAAAUACUAUUAUUACUUUUUAAAAGACCAUAAAAUGAUAAAAAUAAGAUAGAUUAAGUAAAUAGUUGAUAUGAUUGAUUUUAAAAUAAAGCUAAGUAUAGGAUUAUUUUAGAAGAAUUCUAAGAUUGAUUGAAUUGAUAUUCAAGAGAUGGUUGUUUGUGAGUCAUGGUCAAGAUCAGGCCUCCAACCACUAAAAAAAUUGCCUAUAGAAAAAUAUAAGAGUAUUUGGAGAUAAUUAUAUAGGAUUGGCGAACUAAGUCCAUAUUAAUUCCAAGUACAAAUAAUUUCAUUUAUUUGGUUUUGAAAUGACUUUGAGAGGAUUUAUAUUAGCAAUUAGGAUUAUAAACAAUAAAAUUAGUGCUAGUAUUUUUAGUUGAUUUAUGCAUUCUAAGUAAUAUUUAUAGUUAGAAUUUCUUAAUUAUAUAAUUAAUUAAGUGUAGUAGACAUGCAUAAAGAAGGUAUAAGUUUAAGAUAUGUUUUGUGAUAUCUAAAGAUUUGUUAGUUGGAGUAUAAUAAAAACUAAUAUGUACUAAGAAGUUUUAAAGACCAUAAAAAAAACUAAUUUUGAACAAAAACUAACAAUUGGACAUAGAAAAUUUUCUACUUCAAUUUCUCCAUCCCUAUUGAAGUUAGCAGCCAAAUAGACAUUAAUGUGGUAUUUUGGUUUUUUCAUAUAAUUUUUAUAUUAGAUUAAGUUGAAUUUUUAUAAGCAUUAUUGUAUUAUAUGAAUUCUUGAUUGAGAAUAUACCAAGUACUUGAUUGUGGAAGAUUAAUUAGAAAUUACAAUACAAGGUUCUAAUAAUUCUAUAUAAUCUUGAAUAAAUUCCAAUUAUAGCUUAAUUAUUCUAAUCAAAACUUAAUCAAAUCCAAUUAAAAUCUUUAAAAAUUUAUAUAAAAAUAUUUAAAAAAUCCUUAAGAAUUUUUAAAGAAAAUACAAGGAAUUUUAUAAAAAUUCCAAAAAAUACUAAAAAAUUAAAAAUUAAAAUUAAAAAUAAAUAUUAUAAAUAAUAAAUAUAAAUAAAUUAUAAUUUUUUAAAAAAUAUCUUAAUUAAAUUUUAAUUUAAAUCCUAAACCAAAUUUUAAUCAAAUCCUAAAAUUUUAAAAAAUCCUAAUCAAAUUCUAAUUAAAUUUUAAAUCUUAAAUAAACAAUCAAUUAACUCUAUAACAAAUUAAAACCUCAAUGAUUAAUAAUUUGACCAUAGAUUUUGACUUAAAACUUCUAUGCUUUUCAAGUGUUAAGUUGGUAAUAAGUAUAAAAAAUUCAAAAAAGAUUAAACAUACCAAAUAGAAGAUAAAAUUUAAAAUCCAUUCCAAUGUUGGCCAGCGUUUUUUUUCAAUCUUAAUGCAUAUUUUUCAAUGCUAAUUUUUCUUAAAUAUACUAUUUAGUGGCUUUGAAAAUUUUUAUGAUUUUUUGAAAUUAAAUCUAGUACUAUUGCACAAAAUUUCAACUCAAUCUAACCAGUGGAUUAUUGAAAAUCUUAAAAACUCAUGUUCGCCUUUUAAAUUCUAAUAUAUGCUAAUAUACUAAUAUAGAUGUAUGAUAAUUUAAUAUCAUUUAAAGUAAAAAAAUACUAUAUAUAUAUAAUAUAAAAAAUUAUAUUGAUAUCAUAAUAUCAUAUAAUUUAUUUUAAAUUUUCAAAAUAACUAAUAAUUUUUUUUAUUAAUAUUAUAUAAUAUAAUAAAUAAUAUUUAUUAAAAUAGAAAAAACCUUUAAAAAAUAAAAAUAAAAAAAGUAAAAACCAUACUUGAUAAUUUUAAAUUGAUCAUGUAAAUAAUGUUUCUUGUGAAUGUUCUCCAUCAUUUUUAUAAACUCCUAUUCUAAAUUAAUUUUGAAUAUUUGACUUUUUUCUAUUAUCUUUAAUAUAACAUUCUAAAUAUCCAACAAACCAUGUCCAAUAAGUUCAACAAUUUCAAAGUUAUGUCUAUCUACUAUUUAUUUUUUGAUAUUAUAUCUUUUUUAUAAAAAUAAAUUCUUCUAUGAUUUAUCUAUUUUUGAAAACUCCAAAGGAUUAAAAGAACAAUUGACAUUCUCGGUCAAAAGAUGCAUAAUUCUAUUAGAUCUGUGUCUAUCUACUAUUUAUUUUUUGAUAUUAUAUCUUUUUUAUAAAAAUAAAUUCUUCUAUGAUUUAUCUAUUUUUGAAAACUCCAAAGGAUUAAAAGAACAAUUAACAUUCUUGGUCAAAAGAUGCAUAAUUCUAUUAGAUCUGUGUCUAUCUACUAUUUAUUUUUUGAUAUUAUAUCUUUUUUAUAAAAAUAAAUUCUUCUAUGAUUUAUCUAUUUUUGACAACUCCAAAGGAUUAAAAGAACAAUUGACAUUCUCGGUCAAAAGAUGCAUAAUUCUAUUAGAUCUGAAGAAAGUAACAAUGACUAUAUAUUAAGUAAAGAAAAAAAAUAAAGGCAUCUUACAAUAUAACUUAUAUCCACCAUUAUUUUCUUCCAUUCAAUAUUUUUCACAAAUUAUGUUCUAACUUCUUUAUCUUCAACCAUAUAUAUAUAUAUAUAUAUAUAUAUAUAUAAACUAUGUUAGCUUCCAAAUUCUCUAUUAAAUUUCUACCCCUACAUUUUCUUUACUUCACACCCCCAAAUCGUACACCAGCAGACAUUAGUGUCAAAUCCCUUUUCACCGCACGUAAACAACCUUUGCUCACAUUCUACGUCCACGUCAUUCGAAGUUUGACAUGGACCUCUGCAUCCAUGAAUCUUUCCUUCCUACCUACCUACCCACAAAUUCCACGAUUACCAAACCAAUGUCCCACGGCGGCAGGUCGAAAACAUCCCAAGAACCCACGCAACGAAAUCGAUGGCGAACUUUUACCACCUAAGACCGCGGAUGGGUCUCGGCCAUGCGGGGCCACUCAACGUCCGUACUGAUAAAUCCUACUAGGGGACGGAUCUACAAGUGCACCUGGACGGAAUUUCGACCGACGGCCUUGUCCUCGUGCUCGACGACUGACACAUCUCCCUCAGUUGACGCCUCCCCGCGUCAAGAAUUCUGCGACAUGAUGGAAGAGUUACUACUACAGUCCAAACGCCCGCACGGAUCUUCCAGGCUCGAAUCGUCCUGGACCGUUUGUUUAUCCGCUCCACUUCGGGGAAAAAGGAUGGUAGUAAGUGGGGGUGAAGCAGGCGCCUCCCCGUGUUUCGCUAAAGGCUCGUGCUGCUCCGAGGGGGUGAGAAUCUCGACGUGUUUGCAUGGAGGGGUUUUGCAACGUGGAAAUCUUAGCCAUUACUUCCACGUCAUUCAUCCUGAUUCACCCUAUGAAAUGGUCUCACAUUUUUUUUUGCAUUCUGAGAAUCUGACGUUUGUGUGAGUGUCUUUGGCGAGAGAAAGAGAGAGCGAGAGAGAAGUAAAGGGAUGCGAUACUCUAUCCUAUGAAGUUUAAACAUCGACAUCUAGAAGCUAAGAGUUGACUUGAGACAUGAAAUGAAAAAAUGUGUUACACAUUCAUUCGUGAUGCUGGUAAAUGGUUUAGAAUGGUUUAACAGGGUGAAUAGUAAGAGUCGCAAGUUUUUAGAGAAUACUAAUACUUCUGUUCAAUGGCGUCAGUUGUGUGAAUCUUCAGUACAAAGACAUGAAAUUAGAUAUCUUAGAACUUCACACAAAUGUCGACAUGGAUCAUGACGUAGCUAUGAGUCCGUGCAUUCAGGUGGGUUUGCGGUGGAGACUGUUGGGUGGUAGGUAGUGUGGCCACCUCUUGACAAGAGAAAAUGGCUUAUCUGGCAAAAGAUACUCAAAGGUCGUGCGUCUGUGAUGACUAUUGGCCUUGCAGUAUGCAACUCCUUCUGAAGUAAAAAGACAAAAGGCGGAAAUUUCGUACCCAGUGAUCAGUUGCGCGUGGUUGGUCAUCGUUAUCACUUGCGACCUGCUUCUAAUGCCACCGCCCACGAAGUCAUUGUACCAUUGCAGUACUUGUCGACGACGAUCCUGUGCUCCGUUGACAGUUGAGUAACACCUUUGGUAUUACCGGUUGUUUCGACAUCGAGGUCGUGACUGGGGAAGGGAAGGCCAUGUCCGAAGUUGCGAAGUUGCGAAGGUGAUGGAGGGCUCUGGGGACAAGCGACAUGAGAAUUUGGACGAGGAUGGGUACAACUGGCAUGCGCAGUCGGUGGAAUCCGUGAGCAAGGCGUUGGGGACGAAUCCAAACCUGGGCGUGUCGGAUGGGCGGAGUGCAGAGCUGCUGAAGCAGCACGGUUACAACGAGCUGAAGGGGCAGGCUGGGGUGAACCCAUGGAAGAUCUUGCUGCGGCAGGUCUCGAACGGCCUGACGGCCGUGCUUGUCGUCGCUAUGGUUGUAUCCUUUGCAGUGAAGGAUUAUGCCGAGGCGGGGGUUCUGGUAAUUGUGAUUGCGUUCAAUACAAUCGUGGGGUUUGUGCAAGAAUACCGCGCCGAGAAGACCAUGGAUGCAUUGCGGAAAAUGGCGUCACCCUCGGCGAAGGUGAUUCGAGACGGAAGCCAUCACCGAAUCUCGAGCAGGGAUGUGGUGCCCGGGGACUUGUUGACGUUCGAGGUCGGGGAUGUUGUACCUGCUGACUGUCGUCUGAUUGAGGUUCUGAACCUGGAAGUCGACGAGGCGUUGCUGACAGGAGAGGCUGUGCCUUCUUUGAAGACUGUGCAGCCGAUCGGGGGGAAGGAUGUCUCGAUUGGGGACCGCACCAACAUGUCAUACUCAAGUACUACGGUGGUGAAGGGGAGAGGGAAGGCGAUUGUGGUGAGCACAGGGAUGUCUACCGAGAUUGGAAAGAUUUCCAAGGCCAUCAACGAGACGAAGACGCAGUCCACUCCUAUGCAGAGGAAGCUUAAUCUGAUGGCCUACAUGCUCCUCGCAUUUGCGCUGCUGCUUGCGCUGAUUGUGUUUGCUGUAAACAAGUUUAACUUCAGUACUGAGGUUGUGAUUUACGCCAUCGCGCUCUCGAUUGCUAUCAUUCCUGAGGGGCUGAUUGCAGUCAUCACGAUUGUACAAGCGCUAGGCGUGCGGCGUAUGGCCAAGCAGCAUGCAUUGGUGAGGAAACUGGUGGCGUUGGAAUCGCUUCAAGCAGUGACCAAUAUCUGCUCGGAUAAAACGGGUACGCUGACGGAGGGAAAGAUGGUGGUGACGAACGUUUGGCUGCCGGGACAUGAGUCUGAGUACAUUGUCGCUGGGCAAGGGUACGAGACUGUUGGCGACUUGUCCACUUCGGCGGGUGUCGCUGUAGUUAGAUCAGCGGCGCUGGAGGAUGUGAAUUAUCGAUUGCUGGUGGAGUGCUGUGCCUUGUGCAACACGGCGAACAUCGUCGAGGCAUCCGAGGGUAAAGUGUGGGGAGACCCCACUGAGAUCGCCCUCCAAGUGUUCGCAUAUAAAAUGGAGAUGGGUAUGCCCAUUCUGCGUAAACACAAGGAACUCGUUGAGGAAUUUCCUUUCAGCUCAGACACGAAGCGGAUGAGCAUGGUAUGCCAGACUGAGUCGGGAAACUUCUUAGAGAUUUUCACGAAGGGUUCUGAAGUUGUGCUCAGUAUUUGCGACAACGUGAUGGAUCGGACUGGAGACAUACAUAGCAUCUCUGGGGACGAGGGGUUCUUGAAGCUCGUCUCAACGCAACAGGAGGAGAUGGCAAAGCAAGGUUUAAGGGUUCUAGUGCUCGCGUACGGGCAAGUAUCGGAGAGAUCCAUCGGCAAGCCCCUUUCAAAGUGGGAGCGUAACGACGCUGAGAAAAGCUUGACAUUCCUUGGUUUGGUUGGAAUCAGAGACACUCCUCGGGUCGAGUCUGAGCAAUCUGUGCGCAAUUGUCACCGCGCCGGUAUUACAGUUCACAUGCUCACCGGAGACCAUAAAGCCACCGCUAUGUCGAUUGCAAAGGAAGUGGGAAUCAUAGAGGAACCACAUGGGUCUGAGAUAGCGAAUGGUAAUGAAAUCGUCCCCUUGUCAGCAUCUGUCAUGACCGCGACAGAAUUUGACCAACUGACUGAUGAGCAAGUGGAUGCUCUGGUCGAUCUCCCUCUUGUAAUUGCGCGGUGCACACCCUCAACGAAGGUGAGAAUGAUCGACGCGCUCCACCGGAGAAAGAAAUUCGUGGCCAUGACCGGCGACGGGGUGAACGACGCGCCCAGUUUGAAGAAGGCCGAUGUGGGAAUCGCCAUGGGCGCAGGUAGUGAUGUGGCCAAGACAAGCAGUGACAUCGUGCUCACAGACAACAACUUCGCAACCAUAGUACAAGCCAUCGGCGAAGGGCGGAGGAUUUUCUCCAACAUCAAGAAGUUCGUGUUGCACCUGCUGAGCACUAACGUCGGACAAGUGAUAGUGCUACUGAUAGGUUUGGCUUUCAAGGAUCGGACGGGCACUUCCGUCUUUCCACUAUCCCCAGUGCAGAUUCUCUUUCUGAAUCUCGUCACGGGAACACCGCCUGCCAUGGCUCUGGGAAUUGAGCCGGCCUCCUCUUCCGUGAUGCAAGUCCCUCCCCACGUCAAAGGACUUUUCACUGUGGAGCUCAUCAUGGACAUCUUCAUUUUCGGCACCUUCAUAGGCAUCCUCGCCCUGGCAUCAUGGGUGCUCGUCAUCUACCCCUUCGGAAACUCCGACCUCGCCACUCUCUGCAACACCACCGCCAACUUACAAGAAUGCUCCACCAUCUUCCGCGCCAGGUCCACAGUUCAACUGUCCUUCACGUGGAUGAUCCUCUUCCACGCUUACAACUGCCGCCACCUCCGUGCCAGUUUGCUCACUGCUGAGGGAGGCGGCGCCUCGCGGUUCUUCUCCAACAAAGUUUUGGUUGCGAGUGUGUUCAUCGGUGCUCUUCUGCCCAUCCCCACCAUCUACAUCGGCACGCUCAACACGGAAGUCUUCAAGCAGGAAGGCAUUACCUGGGAGUGGAUCAUCGUGAUCGUCUCGGUGUUCGUCUUCUUCUUGCUAUCAGAGUUUUACAAGCUGCUUAAGCGUCGCUUCAUUAAAACUCCCUACAACAUGUGAUCAAUCACCUCCAACCUCAUGUUGCAGAAUCCGCACCCAUGCUGUUGCAUGAACCACUACUACUUCAUUUCUAUCCUUGAACCUGUAUUAUGUAGAUAGAUGAUGAAUGUAGAUAGAUUUGAUAUUAUCUUGAGGCAAAGCUUUUUAGAAGUUUCAUAGACAUGUUUGUUUCUAGAUAUAUUUGUAGUUGAUUGGUAGGUUAGAAACUUGGCCAAAAGUUAGCCACAUAUUGCACAUGCUAGUAACUUGUGCAUAUAGGAAACUUCUCUUACAAGUUAGAUAUAUGUCUUGCCAGUUGGACAUUUUUCAAAGGUCUUAUAGAAUGUCGCCAAGUAGCUUCUAAUUAAAGCAACAAUGGUGAAGCCUUCUUCAUUCAUGUCAAUGUCUUUUUGGUAUUUAAUCUUAUUUUAAGGCUUUCGAGUCUUUUUAUCUUUAGCAAUAGAAAUUCUAAUUUAAUAAUAUACUACCAUUGAGUAUUUUUCUAGUCUUUUUGAGUAACAAGAAUAUAUUGAUUUUUUAGUUCUUUAAGAUUCAUAUUCUUAACAAUUUAAUAAGAAUAUUAAUUUUUUAUUUUUAUUCUAUUUUUAUAAAUGACUGGAUUAUCUCACUUUUAUUGUUGUAUUUCAAAUGUUAUAGACUAUUGACCUUUGAAAUAAUAUUUAAUUUUCUAAUACUAAUCUUUUCCUUAAAGAGAGUUGAUUAUCUUUUUUGUAGAAAUUUUCAUUUGAUAUUAGAGGUUGUAGAUUAUCUUCUUCUAAUUUAACUUUUAGAUUUGUUUGAAUUGUCUGUAGAAGGAAAAAUAUGGAUUCUACUCUUGGCAGAAGUAAAAAUAGAUUUGUAAUUAUUACAAAUAUUCACGAGCUUUUUAACACUCUUAAGGUGGAAAUUUCAUAGAUCUUCAAUAUUAAUCAUGGAAGUAGUAUUCCUACACUGACGAAAGAAGUCAAUAAUGAAGUCUAAAAUCUAUGCUAAGAAGUUGUACAAUUGAAAGAAGCAAAUGAAUCAAAUUUACAACUAAGUUUGAAGAAUCUUGCUCAUACAAACAUGAGAGUAACAAGGAUAAAUAUGCUAGAGAUAUUUGAUGGAACUAGAUCAAAAUAUUGAGGAUUUUUACAGUAAGUAAAGAUCUACUUGAGAUUGCAUUUAUCUUAAUACCUCAAUAAAUUUACUUAAGUCAAAUUUAUAAACACAUUUCUACUUAGAAGUGUCUUUUUUGAUUGACACCAUUGAUGGAAAAUAAUUCACAACUAUUCUGUCACUUAAAUUCAUUUUUAGAAGUCUUUAUGGCCAUAUUUGAAAAAAGUAAUUGAAAAAAAGUAGCAAGGAUUAAACUUAUAUCUUUAUGAUAAGGAUUACAUUUAGCUAUUACAUAUGCUAUUGAAUUCUAAAACCUCACAUAAAAUAUGUAUUGAAAUGAUAAAGCUCUUAUCAAUAAAUUUUGAUAUGCAUUAAAAGAUAACAUCAAAGUUUUACUGUUGAUGAUGCCAAGAGCAGACUUAUUGAAGCAAUUUAUUGCUUAAGCCAUUGCAUGUAAUAAUUGAAUAUUUGAAAGAUGUCAAGAAUAAAGAUUUGGUUGGAGAAAUAUAAGUCAAGACAUGUGUAUAACCUCGAACUUCAUUUAAGUUUAUUUAUCAAGACCAAAACCUAUUUAAAUGGGUAUGGUAUAUUUUAAACCUCUUAUUAAACAAGAAAUGAUUUGAAGUCAUCAAGAAGGUUUUUAUUUAUAUUAUAGAGAAUCUAAGCAUAUUAUUUAACAUUGUCCAAAGAAACAAUGUAAUCACAAAAUGAAGAGCAUAGUUGUCAAAGAAGACAACAUAUCAAAAAAUCAAUUUUUUCAAUUAUAAUAAGGACUAUGCGGCUAGAAUCUUAUGCAAUAUCUAAUAAAGGUCUCAUUCUUUCUUUAGAUCCUUUACCUUGCUUUAUGAUAAAAAUUUAUUUAGGACCAAAAAAUCACAAAUCUUAGUUUUAUUAGAUUCAAAAGCCUUGACCUGUUUUAUAAAGAAAGACUUUAUUUAAAAACAAGAUAUAAAUUUAAUUUAAAAAAUAAAAAUUCUAAAUAUAGAAGUAAUAAAUAAUUAUUUUUUAUCUUUUUAAAAUAUUACCUAUAAAAUUAUUCUUUUAAAUGUAACAACUAAUGGUUAUAAUAGGUUAGUAAUAUUUAAUAUAAUUAGAUCUAUUUUUAAUCAAAUUAUUUUAAGAUUAUUGUGGCUAAAAAAUUAUAAUCCCUAAAUAAAUUAGAUUACUUAUAAUUUUUAUUUUUUUAAAGUUUAGCCUAAGAUUUUGCUAAUCAAGUAAAAAUCCCUAAAUCUAAUAUAUCUAAAUCUUUAUUAUUAGAUACAAGAGCUUUCAUGAAUGUGACAAAAAAAUGGUCAAUUUUUCCUAUAUAUAUCAUAUCUAUUUUUGAUGCAAAAAAGUCUUUAAGUGGCAUUUUAAGCCAAUACUAAGAUUAUGAAGACAUUUUUGAAAAAAAAAAUACAAAUAUACUUCUAGAACAUUGUUUUUAUGACUAUUCCAUUAAACUUCAAGAAGGAGCUCAACCACCAUUUGGAUCAAUCUACAACUUAUUAUAUAAUAAGUUGGUUGUAUUAAAAGAAUACAUUUAUAAGAACUUAGCUAAAAACUUCAUAUGCCAUUUUAAAUCUCCAACAUAAGCUACUAUUUUAUUUGUGAAGAAAAAAGAUGAAUCAUUACGGAUGUGUGUUGAUUAUUGAUGACUUAAUAAGAUCACCAUGAAGAAUAGGUAUCCUUUACAUUUGAUUUCAAGACUUCUUGAUUAAUUCAAUCAAGCAAAGUUCUAUACAAAAAUAAAUCUACAAAAAACAUACAAUUUGGUGUGCAUCAAAUAAGGAGAUGAAUAAAAGACUGCAUUUAGAAUCAAGCUAAUGUCAUGCCUUUUGAACUCACAAAUGCACCAAUUACUUUUCAGCAUCUAAUGAAUGAUGUCUUUCAUAAGUUUCUUGAUGACUUUGUCAAUUAUUAUCUAGACAAGAAUUUAAUCUAUUCCAAGAACACAAAAGAGUAUGAACUUUAUUCAAUAGCAUUUUCAAUAACAUAAAAAAUACAAGAUUUAUGCCAAAAUAGAAAACUAUAUAUUUCAUGCUAUUCAAGUUUACUCCUUAGGAUACAUCAUUUCAAAUGAUGGCCAUAUGAUAGAUCUUAAGAAGGUCCAAACUAUCAUGGAUGAAAAUAUUCUAAAAAAAUUAAAAAUUUGUAAUAUUUUUGAAAUUUGUCAAUUAAUAUCAGAUCUUCAUCAAGAACUUUUUUCAAAUAGCAACUUACUUUAUAUAUUUGACAUGUAAAGAUAAUCUUAAAUAGAACAAAGAAGUUGAAGUAUCUUUUGAAGCCUUAAAGAUACCAUCUAUUUUUGCACCAAUCUUGUAUUAUAUCAACUUUUUCAAUGCAUUUUUUAUAAAAAUAAAUAUCAAACUUUAUUAUAGGUGUUAUUUCAUUACAAAAAGAAGAAAUUGACAAGCUCUUUUUACUAGCUUUUUAAUCCAAGAAAAUAUUAAUAGCCAAAAUUAACAAUAAGAUCCAUAAUGAAGAGCUUCUUAGAAUUAUGGAUUUAUUUCAAGAAUAGUGUCAUUAUCUAAAAGACACUUCUAAUCCAAACAAUGUAGAUAUAAAUCACAUAAAUCUCAAGCACUUUAUAUUGGUACAUAUUUUGAAUCAUUGCCAAGCCCAUUAGAACAUAUCUUUAUCAAGAUUUGAUUUCAAGAUCACAUAUUGAUCCAAAAAAUAACAAGGUUUAUUAGAUGUGUUUUCUAGAUGUUUUUAUUUUGUAUCAAAAGAAGAAAAUCCAACUUUUCAUUAACAAAGAAUGAUUUUCUUAAAACCAAAGCAUUUUCAUCUUAAAGCAAUGAAAUUAACAUUGGCUAUUAACUCAAAUUUUUUUCAAGCAAGUUCAAUUAAGUAUAUUGUCUGUUUUUCUUGUUCAUGAUAUUAAGAAUAUAUAUUUUUUUAUAUCUCGUGAUUCUUCUAAGUUUGAGUUAAAAAAUAAUCUAUUUUAUUUUGAGGCACUAUUAUAUAUUCUACAAGAUAAAACAUAAUUAUAUAUUCUUCAAACUUUUCAUAACUUUCUAGCAACUUGACAUUUUGGAUAAAAUAAGACUUUGAAGCUAAUAUCUAGAGAUUUUUAGUGGCUUCAAAUGUAGAAGAUAGUUAAAGACUUUGUACAAUUAUGUGACAUUUUUUCAAGAUUAAAAACUCCUUGUCAUCAAUUUUAUGGACUUCUUCAGCUAUUAAUUGAUCUAAACCAAUCAUAAUCUUAUGUUUCUAUAAACUUUAUUACAAGUCUUUUAUUUUCAUAUUCUUUUGACUCUAUAUUGAUUAUAAUAGAUUGAUUCACCAAGAUAUUAUAUUUUAUAUUAUGUAUAAAAUCUAUUAUAAGUAAAAAAAUAACUAAACUUUUCUUUGACAAUAUUUAUUGCUUUCAUCGAUUGUCAAAAUAUAUUAUAUGGAAUCAAAGGACUUAAUUUGUAUUAAGAUUUUAGAAAGGUCUUUUUAAGAUUCUAAAGAUAGAUAUAAAAAUAUCUUUAAUUUUUCAUCCUCAAAUUGAUGAACAAAUAGAUUGAAUGAAUUAAGUUUUGAAGCAAUAUUUGAAGUAUUCCAUAAAAUAUCAAUAAAAUGAUUAAAAAGAUCUUUUAUCAUUAAAAAAAUUUACUUAUAAUAAUAUGAUAUAUUAUUUUAUGCAAUAAAUACCUUUCUUUGCCAAUUAUAAUUAUUAUUCAUAACUUGAUAUUUCAAAAGUUGAUAAACUUACAAUGGAAGAUUUAGCAAAUCAUUUAUCUAAGUUAUAUACAACAAUGAAGGUACAACUAGAAAAAACUCAAGAAUGAUAAAAGAUCAAUACAAAUGCUUAUCGUAAAGAACAACCUCAAUUCCAUGUUGGCAACAAUAUAUAAUUACUUUGUUAUAACAUCAAGAUUAUUUAUCUUUAUAACAAUUUGGAUUAUAAUAAACUUUGACUAUUUCCUACAUAUGAAUAGAUUUAUUCAAUUGCUUAUCAAUUAUAUCUAAUAGAAUCUAUGAAGAUUACUUUCAUAUUUCAUGUGUCUCUUCUUAAGCCAUAUAAGAUAAUAGAUAUACUAGGAAGACAAAAAAAUGCCUUACCCUCUCAUAGAAGUGAAUAAUACCCAAAAGUAUGAAAUAAAAGAAGUCUUUGAUUCAAGGCAAAUCUAAAAUAGAUUAGAAUAUCUUAUUCAUUGGUAUAGAUAUAAUAUUAGUGAAUAUACAUGAAAGCUAGUUAAAAAUCUUACAAAUAUUGGAAAGAAUAUUGAUACUUUUUAUUAACAACAUCUAUUAAAACUAAGAUACAUAAUAGCAAAUCUUUGCUAUAAAAACAAUGAAAUUUAAAAAAGAUUAUAUUCUAUUUUCUAUCUUUGUUUGUAACUUCUAUUGAUUUGUGAUUUUAAACAUAAUAAGUGUAUUUUUUAUAUUAAGUAUUUAAAUGAGUCACUUUAGUGACUCACACCAUAUUGUAUAAAGCAUAGUUUUUAAAAUACUAUUAUAUGAUUCACUUUUAGUAAAUAGAAGUAUUAAAAAAUAAUAAAAAUAAUAAUAAAAAUAAAAAAUGAAUAAUUACAUAUAUAUAUAUAUAUAUAGAUAUAUAUAUAGAUAUUUUAAGAUUAGCAAUCAACAAUAGGAAGAAACAAAUAGAUUGGUUAUAUAUUUUUUGAGAAUUGCUCUAUGAUAAUUAUUUUAAGAAUUUUUAGUUAUUUAUUUAGUUAAUAUAAAUGACUGGAACAUGCUUUAAAAUUUUAUUUUCAGUUAUUAGCAACUAUGAAUUUAAAUUAUUAUUUUUGUUAGUUAUUAAAAAUCUUAAGCUUGAAAAAUAUUUUGUAAUCCAUACAAAGACAAUUGUUUUUGUCAUAGAAAGAGUGCUCAUGUAUAAUAAAACAAUAAAUUAUUAGAAAAAAGAAGUAAGGAAAUAAAUAAUUAUAAUUUUGGAAUCUAUAUAUAUAUAUAUAUAUAUAUAUAUGUAUGUAUAUAAUAAUUAUUUUUUGUUAAAUACUUUUUGAAAGCAAUGCCAGUCUAUUCAUGCAUGCAUACAUAUAUAUAUAUAUAUAUAUAUAUAUAUAUACAAUAUAAAAGUAUGCAAGUUACAAAUAAGCAUGAAUCUAAAUGUGUUAGAUUUGUAAGUGAAGUACCAAGUAAUGUGUAGAACUUAAGUCAUCCAAUUUAUAAUUUAAAAUUUAUAAAAUAAAAAUAUAAAAUAACAAAGAAUAGAAGAUUUAAAAGUAUAAGGAUUUUAAAUUACAUUUUUACAAUAUUUUAUAAAGUAUCUAAAAAAAUUUUAAAUUAAUAAAUUGAUCUAUGGAAAUUUUAAACAAAAGUAAAGUCUCCAUGUUUGAAAGAAAAUUGAAAAUAUUAGUGUUUAAAAAAGAAACGAUAAAUUCGUUUUUGGUUAUUAAAACUCAAUACAGUCAAAUUAUAUUAGAAGAAAUGUAAAAUUUAAUAGAUAUUUGUUUCCGAUUCCAGUGAAACAAAACAAUAAUGAUUUAGAUGUUAUUAUUGCCAAGUAAAUUUCUUGCCACUUUUCAAUCUACCAAAAUAAUUGCAUGGUAUUUUUUUACUGAAGUCUUUAUGAAAUUCUUGUACUCUACUUGUAGAAUAAGUAUGUGGUAUUGAUUGAUUGUCACUACAAGUUAAAAAAUAUAAACCAUAUAAAAAAUCAUAACUAAAUUAUAUUAAAGAAUUAUAUAUAUAUAUAUAUAUAUAUAUAUAUAUAUAUUUACCACCAAAUUAAUUUUAUUAGUUUGAUAUUGUAAAAUCUCAAAAUAUUUUUGGAUAAAAGUUGUUUAUUAUAUAUUAAUAGUCAAGUAUUUAAAUAAAAAUUUGAACCAAUACACACAACUUCACAUUUGAAAAAAGUAAAAAAUAAAAUAAAAUAAUUAUCUAUACUAUGCAAAAUUAAGAGUAUUUGUAUAUAGUAUGGCAUUCUAUGUAGCAACUAGAAACAUGCUAUGUGAAUUGAGUUAGAAAUGCUGUUGUUGCAAAUUUUAAAGUUAACAUGUAAGAGUAUGUAAUUAAAAUCUAAUCAGAAUAAAAAUAUCAGAGGUGUCAAAUUGAAGAAAAUUUGAAGAUAUUAGGAGCAAUUUCACAAAAUCAGGAGGUAAAAAAAUAUUAAUAAAAGUAAAUAAAAUUGAUUGAAGAAGAAGGACAAGAAGAAUAUUAUACAUUAAAGUUUAAUGUAUAUAAAAAAAUGUGUAUAAGAAACGUAAUUAAGAAUAUUUAAGAAGCUAUACAACUUGAGAAACAAAAUGAAUGUUUUUUUACAAUUAAUUAUAUAUUAAUCUGAUAUAGUUUUUAAUAUUUAAUAUAAAAAGGAUUAAUUUGAUAUUCCUUGUACUGGUACAAGUAAUCACAUUAUAUUUAUUCAUUUCAUAAAUAUGUUUGAAUAAAAUCUUCUCAAGAAUAAAGUUAUUCAGAGCUAAUAAACUCACAUUUAUUUAUUUAUUUAGUCAUUUAUUUUGAUUUAGCAUUUAGGAAACGAUUAUGACACUUCUGUUAUAUCCAUGGUAGUAUGUCCACAAAGGUUUUUUCUUUUUCUUUUUUCUUUUAAGCUUGUAAAGUUAUAGAAUUUUCAAUCAUAUGCCUAUCUACACAAAGGAGCUAAAAUUUGCAAAUUUUGCAAUGACUAUAAUUAUCAAUAUAUUAACUUCAAAUUAACCAACUUCUCCCAAUUCGUCAAUGCAUCUCUGAAGGAGUGCCCUAUACAAUGCAAUUUUAAAGUUGGCCAAGUAUUAAAGACAUGAAUACUCAGUAACACAUACAGUUAAUGUACGAUUAAUUGUUAGCAUGUUAUCUGUUCUUAACAUGUUUAUUUUGAAUCUUUAUUAAAAACAUAAAUAUUGAAAAUUAAGUAGUUCUUUUUUAUAAUUCGAAAACUCCAGAAAUAAUAUUUUUUAAAAUUUUAGAAGUUUAUUAUAACUGUUAUUAAUAUUGAUUAUUUUAAAGUCUACUUUUUCAAGAAAUUAAAUAAAGAUUAAUAUACCACUAUCAUAUGGAAAAAACUACAAGUAAUAUACUAAUAACUUUAUAUAUACAUAUAUUAGUUAUCAUAUAAAUAUGAUUAUAUAUAUAUAUUAGUUAUCAUAUAAAUAUGAUUAUAUAUAUAUAUAUAUAUAUAUAUACAGGAUAAUGAUAAUUUGACUCAAAUUAUUGCUAAAGUGACCCACUCCAUCUUACCCCAUCAUUGCACCCUUGCAACCCUCCAUCCCUAUUUCUGGCCAUUCCCCAUUCCCAACCAUUGCUAAGGAUGGGGGUGGGGCCAGGAAUGUCGGGAACAUGAGAAUGGUUCAGAAUGGGGAUGGGGUUGAAAGGAUACAAUGAUGGUUUAACACAUGUGGGUCAAUUUAGUAAAAAUUUGGGUUGCUAUAUCAUUUUUUCUUAUAUAUAUAUAUAUAUAUAUAUAUAUAUAUAUUAUUAUCUUGUCUUCUUUAUAAUGAGAGCACAAAAAUUGAAAAACAAUUUUCUUUAGAAGGAGCAAAAAAAAACUUAGUUAUAAUUUAUAAUUUUUUGUUCUAUUCAUACUUUGAAUAAAUUUCUUCCAAAUAGCCAUUGGAAUGAAAUAAAGACUCACCCAAUUCUCAACCAUUCUAUCAAUGAUUCUUGCUUCCUGAAAUUUGAAUAACUCAAACAACAUCCAGAAUUCACACCUCGUUCAACAAUCAUUCACGGAGACUAUCCAACAAGACCAGAUUUUGCCCCUUUCACACAUGUGCUUUGUGGAACAAAGGGCACAAGGGUUUACCCACGGACUGAUUACUUUGUGGGUGGGAUCCAAGAGAAGUUAGGGUUUGCUAGCAGUGAGACAGUGUGAUUUUUGUGGGUCGGUGUGGGAUUGCACAGUACAGUGCGUCUUCGUUGCGGUCAUUGUUGGAUCGAGAGCAGGAUUGGAAAACUAGGGUUGGGAAUCUCUAGCUGGUGUGGAGAUUACUCGGGUGGAACAGUCAUCGGUGGAAGUCCGUGGAGCUCAAAUCCGGAAGCACUCAAUUAGGUUGUAUGAUCCGGGGAUCGCGUCACUUUUAGUGACCGAUUUUGUUCGUAGGUUUGGUCGAAUCUGUUGGGCAUGAUCUACAGGAGAAGUUUGAGUGAAGGGUCGUCGUUUUUGCAUUUUAACGCCCAGAAUUUCAUCUAAGAGGAAUCGCCCCAGUGAAGAGAGCUUUACAGCGCCUGAAUUUUUCGAAAUUGCUUUAGUUUGGUAGGUAGGGUAGAAACAGUAUUGGGCAAAGGGGGUCAUUGCUGAUGAGGCCCUAAGAUGGUGGCUCCCUUAAUAGUGAAGGUCGUUGCCUUCUCGCUUGCAAAAAAGGUCAUCGUCUUCCUUGUUGCUAAGGUAUGCUUUUCCUCAUUUAUGCCCUUGACCUCGGCCACUCGGAAUUUCCUGUCAAACCCUAAGGUAGAUUUAUAAUCAUUAAACAUCCUACCUCGUGAGCUGUGGUGGUUUCUUUACAAUUCUUUCUAACCCAAAGUGUAAUGCUUCCAUUGAUUAUCUGAAGAUAUUGCAAAGCCAUUCUGAGGCUUAGGGUUUGGAAUGUGGUGGAACCAUCCAGCGCCUCUGGAAUCACCACUUCUUUGCUUCCGAUUGACACCCUUAAGUUUCGGCGCUUACGGUUGGUUGUAAAUUGCCACGAGGUGACGUGCGAUUAUAAUAGCUUAUUAUGGGAACUCAACAGUUUUGUUUCUCUUGGCUGCAGUUGUAUGGAUUCCCAAGGCUUUACCGGCGUGCAUCUGAGCUCAAUCACUAUGUAAAUCGUGAUAAUGCAACGAGGAGAGAGAAGUUUCAAAAUCGAUUACAUUUUUUGUUUCGGCUCCCCACCCAUAUCUACAAAACUGUACAACGUUGGAGAGGAGUACAGCCUCCUCAAGGCCCACCGUCUGCUCCAGGGCAAUCACAAAGAAUCAACAGCAGCCAUCCACAGCACCACCAGGUUGAAUUCCAAAAUGUUAGAAACCCCUUCACUCAUAUGGAUUCUUUUGGUAAUUUUGCAUCUCCUUAGUAACUUUUCUACAUUCCAUUCAAAUUGGGUUGUAAGAGUGCUCGCCUGUUAUUUCUUUGGUAUGUUAGUUUUUCAUUUGAUCAGUAUCGAGUAGGUUUUCUACAUAGAAACUUAGCACGCUGUAUGUGAAGCAAAUUAAUCACUAUAUGCUCUGUUUGCAGGGUCAUGAAUUUCAUACAAGCUCUCAUUCAUUACGAGUUCCGCUCCUGAAUGUGUCGAAUCCCUCUAAUUUUGGAGGAUUUGGCUCUAUCAGUCAGUCGAUAAGGUCUCAUCUAUUGGGUUUGAGGGCAGGAGGAAGUCAAAACUCAAAAAUCAGGCCAUUUUCUGGUUUCGCUACUCUCCCCUUAGGAGUAACGUCACUUGUUUCACCUUCCAGAGAAACAAAAAGCUUGCAAACGAUGAGCCGCGGGCAUUUCAGUGCUGUUGAUUUAGUAAAUAGUCAUAUAAUUCAGAUGAAAGCGUCCAAUUAAUUAUUGAAUUAUCUCAAAUUAACACAGCCAUGUCAACGUACUGCAAUGUUUAGCAAUAGGAGAUAUUGGGGUUAAGGGUCGGUCUUGCGUCAGUUUGUACAUGUGACGAGGUCUGGGCUUGACUUGUGAUUGUGGUUGAUCAGUUUACUGUCUUCCCUUCAUUGUGCACGCAUAUUCAAAUUGAUGCGCUGUCGAACUGGAACUAAUUCAGGAUGUUGCGUUAUUCCACCGAUGACGCAUCAUCGUUAUGAUAUCUAAAAUCUCUGAAACCAUGCCUAUCGUGAUUCAGCAUUGGAGACGAGCUGUUCAUGCAGUUUCAAUUAGCAUUUCUCAGUACCACAUUGAGAUUCAUAGUUUUAGCAUUGCUAGGUUAUCUGUGAGCACAAUUGACUAGCGUUUAUUGAGGAGCAAUUUAAUUGUAUAGUGUUUCAGCACUCGUGUAGUAAGGUCUCAUCUAUGCUUUUUCAGAUGUAACCAGGUUUGAAGUAUCGGUGCUGAGUAGCUCGAAGACGAAACUAAUAAUUUUUCCUUAGGCGGAGAAUGACUUCGUUGACAAGCUCACAUCCGUGAUGCUGUCGAUAGAAGGUGGAAAAUGUGGUGUCCAGUGAUAUGUUUAUGCUAGUUUCUGUGCUUGUCUCGAAAUUCUCGUCGUUCAGCUCGCGGAAAUUUGUUAAUUGCGUUGGUAGUAUUGCAUGCUGCAAGUUUCUACUGUAAUUUAUGAAAAACGUUAUCGUUUAAUUCCAUCUACAGCGCGAUUUAAAUGGAUAAGUAAAUCUAAUUGCAGCAUCCUAUGGUGGAUGCCAACAGGCACUUUGUAAAACUGUCUGGUUCAUCGUACCCUCCACUCCGUACGAUUAGUAGUAAUUAGAUCUAUUUGGCGAGAAUCUCAGUGACUGAAUUUGAGUGGUUCACCUCUCAGGAUGUAAAUAGCUGGGAAAAGAGUUAAUGACAAUCGUAAUAGUCUGGGUGAGCUAUUACGAUUAUUCAGUGUCAUUGAUCAGGCAUUUCAGGUUUUUGUGAAAAUCUGAUGAUGCAUUUUGACAACGCUUUGGAACAUAGCGCAUUCAGAACUUGUGGCAACUGUUGUCGUACUUUACUGAAUGGGGCAGAUAACAGGUUGUAUAACCAGUACAAAUAUCUCUCGGCAGAUAUUUCAAGUCACCAGUAAAUUUUCAUGCUUCCUCGACCUCUCAAGGAUAGGAUGUCUAGUCUCUUCACAAACCUUCACACCGAUGAGCACAGGACCAACUUCAUGCAGUUGUCUGCUCCACCCUAGCUUGGCAGCAUGAUUGCAUCCUCAAUUGGCGCAAGCACUGUCAGCCUGCACACCACAACCAAUUUACAAUCAUAAAAAAGAACAAUUAUCCCCUGUGACCGCAUCAGACUCAAUCGAUUUUGUGGCGCGGCCCUUUCUGCCAUCUGUCUAACUAUUUGAAGACGACAAAAUUCGAAAUUGACAAUGGAGGUUGUUUCCUCAAGAAAACUUACACCAUAACCCUGAUUUCAAACAGGGGAACAGACCAGACGAAUCGAGAGUCAGGUAGCAAGAAAUGUUCCUAGAAACUGGCAAAUUAAGAAGAAACUCGAAACGUUAAAGCGAAAUUGGGACAAGGGCUUUUACCGUUCCAGCCUCUUGAACCUUAGAAGCCAAAUGAGAGGGAAGCUCCACUCCAGGCCAGCUCUUGCACAGGCACAAAUCCUUCUCUUUGUCGGCGAUGCCGUUGUAAACGCCCGGGACGUGCUUCCCGCACCCCGCCCAUGACGUCUUCCCACAUUUACUGCAUCUCACGGAGUAACACAUCCUGCCUCGAUCGAUCUUCAAAACCCCACUUCCUGCAAUGCGCACUGACAGAAGCACCAAAUCUCACACGAACACACGUUCACAGGUGACGGCAGUAAAAACCCACAACCAGAAUUUAAGUGCCGAUGGCCUGCGCCACUCCCGUACGGACGAUCGGGAGUGGGAUCCUUCAAUAGGACCUUCCUUCCAGCCCCUGAUGCGGCAUGAACUCUGUCAGCCUCAUCGAAUUGUGGCGCAUAAACCUCACUACUAAAUCGACUAGCUCCGCCAUCGUGGGCCGUCGGAUCGCAG
rnacentral:lncRNA from 1 species